rnacentral:lncRNA from 1 species
CCGUGUAGAUGCAUGACCGCCGCCGUCGUCGUCGCCGCCACCACCGCGCUCUCUCUCCCGAACUCGCGUGCGCUCCGCACCCGAUACCGCCGCAGUCACAGUCGCCAGUCAGUACGCCGCUAACCGCUCCGAACUGCACCACUCGCGGCGACCGUCACACGGUUGUGUCGUUAUCUCGUUGUUCGCUAUACCAUUUAUUAUUGUACCGCUCGAGUGUUUUAACGCCACCCAUUAACGCCGCUCACCGAAAAUGCCGUAUAUUCCAACGACCGUUUCGGGGUUUUCGUCCGGUUAGGUCGCAUUGUUCUUCAUCGACGGGUAAACCGUCGCGUCUUUUGCGCCUUCGCGUGUGUCGUGUUAAAUGUUCGUGAACCACCGUCGGCAAUUCGGUAGCGCGGCAACCACCGACGGGCACGUUCGGCCGAAGGCGAUCCCGCCGGGACACUCGUUCUAAGGUAACAUUUAUACUAUUAUGUCCGUGGGGCCGAUUCGACUCUCUCGCAAAAGCCUCGAACUCUUUGCGGGCUCGACGUAACCCCUUGUCUUUUCAAAGUUGCAUCGUUUUAAAGCGUUAGCCAACAGAUUGUUAAGGUACGUGGUACAAUGUUCCGUUACUGUAUACUCGCUAGUACACGUCGAAACAUUAAGAACACGGACCCCGCGUUUUUUCACGUAGAUCGUCGUGAUGCGAUACGUCUUGCGUUUGACGAAUGUUCGUAUCGUCUUUUGCCAUUCGUCUCACCAUCUUUUGCCGGGCUUUCAUAUACUUUAGGCUAUGCUAGUGUAGCGCGAACCUUCCGGAAGCAAUUAACGCCGAUGAUAUAGUCGAGUUUUCCUUUGAAUUGUUCUUUUCUCGUCCCGUUUUCGUCACCAUAAUAUGGCAAGAUUUCACUUGGUGAGUUGACAUUCUCAACCACUGGUCUUUUGAUCGUGAUUGUUUCGUAACGAGUUUUAAAUGUCACGGGGGUUCAAUUCGCAUUAGUCACUUUAACAUUAUAAUAGUACCGUUUUAAAUAGUUUAAUAAAAACAUGAUUACACUUUCAAGUUGGUAUCUAAUUUAUAAGGGUCGAAAUUAAAUUCGUAUUUUGUAAAUUUCAACACGUCAUGACAAUAUGACAUGCACAAUUUAUCUGUGAUGCUUUGAAAAGUUGUGCUCAUGACCUAUCGGUAUAGUCUCAUAAUUAUAUCUAUACACAUUAUACCCAAUAAUGAAUAUACAAAUACACGCUUCGUUUGCAUUUUACACGUUUAUAGCCCUGUGUAAACUUCUCUGUUCAAACAAAUUGAAUACAUUUCAAGUUUGUAUGCGUUUUUACUAUACUCUAAAAUGUUCAAGAGAACGAAUAGGAGACAGUCUUUACCAAUAUUGAUGUAAAUGAUAAUGGGAAUUUCUUAAAACCAGCCAAUGACCGCUCGAGAAAUAUUAUUCAUAUUUGCAUUACAUAAAUUAUUUAAAUCUAAAUACGCGCAAUUAAGUUAGGUACACACGUUUGAAAUUCAGACUGCGUACUGCCAUUUUUAAAGCAAACACAUUCAGGUCCUGCUUGGCUGCUUAUCAAUAUAUUAUAUUAUAUAAUUUCGGUACUUAUAAACAUAAUAUACUUUGGCUAUUAUUUGAUUUCCCAGUAGAAUUUUAUUUUAUUAUUGCAAAUCUUUCUAUUGAACCAGGUCAGUUAGGUAAAUAUGCUAUCGGUUCAAGUUUCUAGAUAUAACAUAAUAUUGUAUAAUUCUUGAUGCACAAGUUGAUACUUAAUUUGUACGGUAUCUACAAUGACUUACAUAAAUUAAAAUACAAUUUAGCAUGCAGUAUUAUGAAUCGAAAAUGACUUCGUAGGGGAAGUUUAAAAAUUAUUCAUAUUUGGAAAACAAAACAAACGAAAUAGCUAAUGUAGUGAAGUUAUCCUCGAAAUAAUAGGUUAGAUAGUAAUGCGCGGAUCGGUUGUUAUUCGAUAUUUAACGAGUUAUCGUGUGAUUAUUAUUUUUUUUAUACGCGAUUUCAAUUGAACUAAAAUAUUGUGUUAAUGAUUAUGCAUUCCGUCUUAAAAAGGAAUUUCAAGAAUGUAAAUUCGUCCAGCAAUUAUCGAUAUAAUACGCAUGUCUAUAAUGUACAUAUGUACCUUUAGGUGUUUCGUUAAAAUAGUUUAUAUCGGUUGAUAGGUACUAUAUUAAAUGUUACAAGUAAAUGUGAUAUUAGUGCGCCCGCAGUGCCUUUUUCAAUUCUGCCGUCUUAAAUUCGUCAUGAAAAAUAAUAAGGAAGAAUAUUUUACCCCACGUCUCCCUCCCUUUCCCACCCGUGCCUCCGAAGAUGCUUUUAUCACGAGAUUGAUAAUUUACUCGCGAUGUGUAUAGUAUUACGUAUCGAAAUCGAACGCACAUUCUAUAUUACACCUCCAGGCCAAAUGGAAGCUCCUACUCGUUUCCAGCGAAAAAAUUAGUUUAAAAUAUAAUUAUUACUAUCGAAACCGGCGGCGUACGCUUUUUACUUAGUCAUGUAAGCCGUAUAGGUAUUAUUAUUAUUAUAUUCGAUGAACCAAAAUGCGUACCUAUGUAUUUCGAAAUUUUUAAUAUCGAAUGAUAAUAUUAUAGCGUUAUUAUGACUGACAGCUUAUUUAUUGCGAGUUAAAUGUCAGAAUAUAGUGUUCGGAUAUAUUUUGUCCCAGAAAAGAACGGCUUAUAUCAAUUGUGUGUAGUUUUCAAUUAAUUCAAAUUCAAUUUUGAAAAUUCAUACUCUUAUGCCAUUUAAACUAAAAAUCGACUUAAGCGUUUCUUCUACGGAACCAAAGGUAUAAAUAUAUAUAUAUAAUUAUAUUAUAUUCGGAUUUAUUCACACGUGUAGUGUAGGUAAUUUGGGAUUUGGUAAGAGAUUCGAUUCCUGCAAAGAUUUAUCGAAAUCGUUCGCUAUUCGAAUUGACCACAGUCAAUAAAAUAUAUAUAAUAUUAUGUUGUAUUUUUUAUUAACAAAUAAGGGUUUUUUUUUUUUAAAAAAUUUGAAUAAUAAUAUUUAAAGGCAAUGUUGAUAAUAUUUUAUAGUGUUUUCAUAAUCUGGUGAACGCGUGUAGUUUAUAAUCGGGGCUUGAAAUUUUAUGCAAAUGUACGUUUGUUAUCGAAAAUUCAUAUUCUGGGUAACCAAGUAAAAGCUCGUAAGUCUCUUUUAACGAGUAUAAAAAAAAAUUGUCGCAAGUAAACUAUUACUAAUAAAACUGAAAGGAGAAUCAAAAAUUACCCUCCUCCCCAAUGACACCGACUAGAUUAAAAAUGUUACACGAAAGUUUCUAUAAAGUUUUUAGUUGGACUUUUUUUUUAUACAAAAGUUAUUUACGUAAUAAGAGAAUACAAAUUAAAUUUGUUUCGUGUUACAGAUUCUAAAUAAAAAAACUGUUCAGAGCAUUGGUAUUAUUGUAUAAUAUUUUAAUUUUUUUCUAUAAUUAUGCAUAUUCUGAUUGGGUAAUUUUAAAUAGUUUUUUACAUUAUGCUAGUUCUUUACAUAUUUUUUUCAAUAUAAGAUACAUUUUAUUUGAGAAGAUAUUAUAAAAAGGCAAAUUUGCGUUCAGCAGGACCAAUUUUGUGCUGUUAGUUUUAUUACUUUAAUUAAAUUUGCCUAUUAGCAAACUUUAAGUUGUAAGAAUAUUAUCUAUGGAACUACGUCAAUUUUUUUCGAUAUUUUAAAUAAUGUCUAAACGAUACGUACAAAAUAAACAUUUUUAAAUUGUGAUAUUUCACCUCGUAUUUUACAUACAUAUAUACGCUUAAAAAUAAGAAUAUCGAUGAAGUUGCACAGAUAAUUUUCUUAUCUUGAAGUUUGGUAAUAAGUCAAUUCACUCUAAUAAUAAAUUUAACAAUACAAAGUUGUCUCUGCUGAACGAAAAUGUGCUAUGUCGUGCGUCCUAAGUCUGAAGUUAAAUUUUGAAAUUUAAUAUUUUUUCUCCAUAUUUUAUCAUUAUAAACCAUCACCAAUUAAUUAUUAUUUAUAAAUUAAAAAUCCAAAAAGUAAAAAUGUUAAGGUCCAUGUUUUUAUUUGUAUAUGAUUUGCUGUUGAUAGAACGUUUUAAUGGCGUGUAGAACAUUGUUUUUGUGUGAGGCUCAACCAUUUACGGCACUUACCACUAUCACCAACACCAAUUCUUUUAUGAACAAAUCAGUAACAAAUUGUUAUUAAAGUAAUUGCUUAUAACUCUCUGUUCUGUGGUUCUACAGGCUUACGUCUACAACCGUCCACGACCCACGAUUUUAGUUGCGGCACGGGCCUUAAAUAUAUUCUUGGCCACGCCGCUGGAGCGUAUUAUUAUUGUACGUUGGCAACCUCUAAAACUGCGCAUUUAAACAUUUGAAAGUGCAUAUUUCAACUUUUCUGAGUGCAUAAAGUUCCUAGUUCGCAGUUUAAUAUCGUAAUCGUAUUAUAAUACAUACUUGGUAUCGGUGCUUUAGUUUAUUAACGGUUCGUAAUUAUACGGUUGCAUGACACGCUUACUAAUCCAACAAUUUUAUUGCAAACGCCAGCCAAAAACAUAUAAUACUCGGAAAUAAUAAUCACCACGGACGUCGCAUAAUAAUAAUAUUUUGCGAAUACCUCGAGUUAAUUCAAAUAAGUGAGUUUGUAAUUUAAAAAAAAAAAAUAAAAUUAUAUUAUUAUGAUAUUUCCUUCGACUCGUUAUACCGAUACCUACCUGCCAACGUAGUAGUUGUAUUCGGUGCCGUCGCCGCCAUUCCGGUUUUAUUCUAAAUAAAGUCAUUAAAAACAAUAAAGCCAUUAUUUAUACGAAAAAAAAAAAAAAAAAAACCAGUUUACCCAGGCCCGGUAGUUUGCAACCCCUCAAUUGUUCGAUAUACCUACUCAUUACAGUCUACGCCUAUAGGACACGCAGUAAUUAAGUGAUACCUAUAUAUUUCCUUUUAUUUUUCGACGUCCUUUUUUUUCCCUUUUUUUUCCGAACGACGUCUAAAAUUUAUCCACAUCCGUGUGUAUAGCUGUAAGUUUUCAAGCUUGAUAAAAUAUGUAUUUUGAAUAAAUAGUGCGUUUAUAUUAUUUUUUCCUAUAAUAUUAUAUUAUAUAUAUAUACCUACGAUAUUUCAGUUUUCGUUAUAAUGAAUCCGAUAAUCAAAGGUUUAAGAAAAAUAAAUCGUGAAAUUUUAAUGAGCACUAAAACUUAUUUGUGUAUGAGAAAGUUGUAAUAUAAAUCGAGUACCUAACUCGAAUUAUUAUAAUACGAUUCACUGCUGUUAUAUAUAAGAGAAACUUCAAUUACUAUACAGCAUUGUUAUUGCAGGGGUAUACUUAAAACUUCAUAAAUUUGUUUUUACGCUUUAUAAAAUCACCGUAGUAUUUUUAUUAUGAAAAGAAACUUUUAAAGUUUGAUAUUGUGCCGAGUAUUUUUUUUUAUCUUUUGAUUUUUAUUUAUAAAUAUAUAUAUAUAUAUAUAAUAUUCAAUUGUUUUGUUGAGCUUUAUGUGUAACGUCGCGCGUAUAUUGUUUAAUAUGAACAUGUUUUCGAGCUUCGUUUGAUUCUAAUCAUAAUUUAUGGCUUACGGAUCAUCUCGAGUUGGUUAGGUAAUACAUAAAUUGUAUAGGCAAUAUAAUAUAUAAGGUGUUAACGGCAAUCUUGUCAAUGCGUAUACAGAAAUUAUACGAAUCUCGACAAAAUUUGAAUUAGUUUUACUAAUAUUUCUUUCUUAAGCACCUCGGCUUUAUACACUAUAAUAUGGUAAUGACUUUUAUUGAAUAGAUUAAAAUUCCUAAACGAGUACCCAUAGUAUAUAAUCUUGUACACUCACAUAAACACACACACACACAUACGCGCGCGUACACAUAUAUAAAUAUGAAAAAAAGUGUUAACGUUUUUUUAAUUUUUUCACCGCAUCAUUUUGAUCCCGUGUAUUAGUUUGCGUACAUAAACUAUAUAAAGAAUUAAAAUUCGAUGGUUUUAAAUUACUCGAAAUCCUGUUUUUAUCAUAUUAUUUACCGCGCUCAACAUUAAAACCAAUAAGUAUUAUAUUAUAGAAGCCGAAUAGAGCUGGUUUUAGCACGUACGUAUAAUAUAACAUAUAACAUGUAGCAAUUACAGAAAGAUCCGCUAUAUACAAUAAAAAUAAAUAUUUUGAACGCCGUAAAAUGCAUUUUAAAAUGUCACACCGUGUUAAUACCUAACUAUAAUAUUUGUAAUAUUUGCAUCUAAUUUUCGAAAACAACCACCGAUGGCACGAUACAAUAAUUUUUUUUUUAUCUACAAAGAUUCUGAAUAUAAUUGAUUUUUUUUUUUUGUCAACUAUUGUAUAAAACUUAUUUAACGACAAUAUUUUUUGAAAAAUGUUACCCUUAUUCUGUAUACCAUAAACACAUAAUAUCAAAUUUCAAUUUUAAAUAGUACUCUGCCUCCCUACUUUCAAAUCUGAUAUUUAUUUAUUGAAAUUAAUCAUUUUCGUGUACCUAUAACGCGCGCUUAAACAUCACAAUUUACUCUGUAAUUUAUAAUACAUCGAAAUGUUUUAAAAACCGUACAGUUGAUCCUGCAAAUGCAAAUAUAAUAAUUUUGUAGUAAAAUUAUUCGGGUAGGUUUACUAUUAUUCCGUUCAACCAUGAUAUACAAUUUUUAACUUAACCUGGCCUCCACAUUUGUUCAAACCAAAUUCGAAAAGAAAAUAUUUUUCUAAAAAUGUUGUUACGCAUAACAUUAAUAAUGGAUUUUUCCAUUUAUGAGUUAUAACAGUUUAAAAUGCAUAUCGGGGGAGGUCGAAAAGGGGGGGGGGAGGUUACUUAUCGAAAAUAAAAAGUUAUAAUAAUCAUUGAAGCUAUAAUCCAUAAAGAGUAGGGUAAACGUUUGAAAUAAUGGAAAAAUAAAAUUUAAACAAGCUUCGUAAUGAUCGCAAAAUUUAAAACAGAUAUCCAAUUUAUAUUUAAAAUCUUCUGAGAAAAUCGCUGUAUCCGUAAUAAAGAAAUAUCGCUGUUAAAUAGUAUAAAGAAUUCUGACGGACACGGUGUUAUACAAUAUUAUGUUGAAACGAAUUGCGGUGAACAUCGAGUAUAAUUUUGACGAUAUUAUCAUCGCGCCGCAACGGGUGGUUUUCAAUGCGCUUCCGAGACAUCUCUACGUGACCGCAUGUACCAUUAUUGUGUUAACAUAUAUUAUUGUAUUAUAUUAUGUAUAUUGUACAGUCGUGUAAAUGGCGUACGGUAGGUGAACCCACCGCUGUCGUUUGGAUUUCGUGUGAAAUAAUAUUUUAUAUUAUAACCAUAUCGUUGAAAGCGGAUAUUUUUCGUAUAAUUUGCCACGUUUCGCCAUGUGUCUGCAGACGCCGUCAGACCGACCCAUGCUGCGGUGAUCGACUUUAUAUAGUAAUAAUAAUAUAAAAAUACCACCCGAAAUGUAAAAAUUAUUUUUCUAUUCAAUUGGAAUAAAAACGUAACAAAAAAAAAAAAAAAAAAAAACUGUAGGUAGGUAGGUAGGUACCUAUACUCUGUACGUAUAAUAAUAUAAUACAGCCACUCAUUAAUCUAACAAUGAUGUUUCUGAUCAAUUGUCGACAAUUCAAUAGGUAGGUUUUCAUAGUUAACACAUGUAAUAAUAAUUCUUUAGGCACAUAGUAGCAAAUAUAAAAAACAUUUAUAUCCGUACGGCAGUUUAGAAAAACUACACAUGUUUAAUAGGGUGCAUGAUUUUUUUUUUUUUAACGUGAAUUAUAUUAUUAUUUUUCUAUUUAAUCUCCCCUCCCAGUGUUACUAUAACAUAUUAUAUAAUAAUGUAAUACUAUAAUUGUGUAUACCUAUUUAUCGAAGUUAAUCGGUUUCGAGUACGACGCACGCGUUUACACAUUAUAAUAUAGGUAUUUAGUAAAUACCUAAGUCACAGUAAAUUAAAAUAGUUUAAAAAUCGUACAUUUGAUCCUGUAAAUGAAAAUAUAUUAAUUUAUUAUAUUUUUUAUCUUCAUUUGUUAGGUGUUUUUUUACGCUCUAGUGUCGUAUCAUAUUAUUUUUUUGAUUAGCUAACGAUUUAUGUUCUAAAUAAAGAUUUUAAGAUUCGGAGCGUAACAAGGGAUCUGAUGGUUUUACUAAAUGACGUGUGUUUUUGUAUUUUUUAGAUUCGGAGCGUAGCGAGGGAACUUUUGGUUUUACUAUGUGUAUUUUUUCUCUGUCUGAACAACUUUUCGAAAAGAAAUGUAUCAUUUUUUUUUAAAGUAAAAUUGUCUUUAGUUGGAAAAAUGAGAGAGGUUAUUUUUUGAUUUUCCAACAGGUUCUCAAAAUAAUUGGGAAAAACAGAAACAAAAUUAUAGGUAAAACGGAAAAUAUUUACGCGGCGUUACCGAUUUCAUUGUUUUUAAUUUUUGUAAACUAAGUUUUCCACCAGAAAUAUUGUUCCAAUUAAAAAAUAACAUUAGACCUUUUUGUUGUAUUUUUAAUCUUGUUAGUGAGUAAAAAAGUCGUCUUUUGAUUUCCCUGUAGAUUAUUUUUUUAAUAAUUGAGCAAAACAGAAGAAAAACGUAGAAAGAACGGGAAAAAGUACAAAAAUGGAUUUAUUAUUUUCAAUUUUGGUUUUUUGUUGUAUUUCAGUAAACAUAUUCGUAGAAACUUGAAACUUAUACUUAAACAGAAAACUUAUACUUGUUUUUUCUAGACAUGUUAAUUUUUAUUUGUUAAGUACUCUGUAGAUAAAAUUGUCUAAUUGUCUAAACGAAAAUGUUUGAAAAUUUGAUAAGAGGUUCAUUACAAGUCGUUCUUCGUGGUCAAAAAAAAAAAAAAUAAAUAAAUAAUAGAGUAUUACAUUUAAAAGUGUUAAAUUUUAACAAAAAUUUUAAAUAUUUUAAAUAUUAUAGGCCUUUAAAAACAUGGAUAACCGAACUUUGCUUUCAUUUUUCGUCAGCAAUGGCCAUUGGUUGACCGUUCCUUACAAGGAUAAAUAACCUUAUGUAUCCUACCUUUUCAACUAUCCAUCUACAACGGUGAUACACCCGUCCUCGGUAUCACCUCUUUUUUUAAAAAUAAAUAACGUAUAAUAUGUAUAAACAUUAUACUUAACGAGCAUGUAAGUAGUUUUUUUUCAAUUUUAUAUGUACUUUAAAUUAUAUAUAGACUGUGGGAAAUCUUCAAGAUUAUUUUAAGUACAAUUUUGAUGAAUAAAUCAGUUAAUAAAACAAAUAAAAUUAUCUAUUAAUAUAAUAAGAAGUAUACAAAGUCAAAUAAUUGUUCAAAACAGAAAUUCGACUCCAGCUUAUUGAUCUUAAUGUAUGGAUAAAACGAAUCUCUUUUAAUCGCUUUAAUAUUUUUUUAACCUAUCUCUUAAAACGUUUAUUACGUAAAUUACUUUGAUUGUAACGAAUUUUCUGAUAUAAAUUACAUUUUACAUUUUUUACAUAAUAAUAAUAAUAAUAAUAAUAUUUCUUUGUAAUCUAUUCAUUUGAUAGGUAUUAGAACACGGUGUUCGAAGCCCUAUAAUAUAUACCUUUAGUGAAAUUAAAUACGUAGUUAUUAACUUUAUAACACAUAGUUUUUUCUAACUGAACGUGCGACAUUGCUGAAAAUAUGAUAUCGAAACGAAUAAAGCAAAAAUUGUUUUUAUUUUGAUAGAAUCUAAAAAAAAAACGAUUGGUGAUCGAAUUUCACGUGAUUUACAUAAUACGAGGUGAAAUCUAUACCGUGUAGUUUGUAACGACAUAGUUAUACAGUCGACUGACCAAUAUCUCUGUUUGUAGACGUUUAGAAAUAUGAUGUACAUUAUGACACGAAUGUUUGCGGCGGUGGAAACAAUAUUUGCAUAACGUGUUUUAUGGUCGUAUAGGUAUAUAAUAUACUCGUAUACCCAUGCUUUAUUCUUCGGUCCACAUCCCGCGUUCGUGAUAAUAAAUAACAACAAUGCCGGGCAUACACUACAAUAAUAAUAAUAAUAAUAUAUUAAUACACUAUAUUAUAAUAUAUAAUAUUAAUAAUACAAUAGAUCGUAGGCCCGAUGUUUAGAUUUAUUAUAAUUCCCAUUAAAACCGAUCGUACAAUAAUACGAGCCGCGCGGAGUACAUAAAUUAUUAUUUUUUAUUGGUCAUUCACUACGGAAACGAAACGGGAAUUAAACACAACUUACACGAAUUCUAUAAUGUUAUCAUCAUGACGAAUGUUAAAUAUUAAUCAACACGUGUCAGAACGCGAGAGCGAUUUCUCUUUGUAAUAAUCUACACGGCAUAUAGGUGUAAUACGUCUGUUACACUCGUACAUAAUAUUAUUAUUAUAGGUAUCGGCCGAGUGGCUAUAAUUUCACACGUGUUACCGUCUAUCCCGACCAAGAUGCCGCCGCCGGUUCGGUACUUUUCACACGUAAAUUAUUCUUAUAUUAUCGUUCGAAAUCCUUAAUAUGGGUACGUCGCGUGUUUGGACGCAUUGCGGGGUUCCUCAGUAGAUAGCUAUAUUGGCACACUCAAGCCCAUUAACCUUACAGUAUUAUAAACCAAACUUGCGCUGUAAAACUCCCCUGACAAUAAUCAUUUCGUAUGUACGCUGCACCAAGCGCAUUAUAAUUUGUUCGGUAUGUGUUUUUAAACUUUAAACUGUUAUUAUAAAUUAAAACAAAAACUGUCGGAAAUUUCAAUGGGAAUUCUUUCUCGCGGCGUAUAACGUAAAAUAAACGUUAAAUAUGCAUAAUAUUGCGUAUAGUACGUAAUAUAAUAUUAUUGUAUAUUAUAAUUUUCGAUUUUCCUGUCUCGGUUUAAAACGUUACAUCCGUCGCGUCGUCGUGAUUUUCCGAAAAAAUAAAUCGUCGCAAUCUGUGCAUUUCAAUGAUGGUUCAAUGAUGUUGUGCGAUUUAAAAAUAAUUUAUUAUUAGGAAAAAAUAAAGAAAAACAACUACGUUUUAAAUAACAAAAAGAUCAGAUUUUGAUUGAACAUCCGAAUGUUAAAUUUACCGGAGGCGACAACGCUCACUGUUUACAGUCGCUUUUAUCGGGACCGUUGUUAUUUUAAUUUAAUCCACGGGUUUAAGAUAACAUUUGAACAACAGAGAUUCCAAAUAAAAACACUUAAAUCGACAUUUGCUGUUUACGCGAAAAAAAAAUAAUGUAGAAAUGCAUUAGCUUUUAUGCUUAAUUUAUUAUAUAUUAAUAUAUUAUACGACGUGAUGCCGCCGUCGGGGAAUACUUAAAAACGCUAAAAGCAAUACUUUCGAAGGUACGUAAAAAAAAAAAAAAAAAAAAUCGAUGAAUAUACGGCAAACUACAAAUCCGCAUCUGUGCAAAUCCGCAGACGUGGGUGGUGGGUACGGAAAGAUUAUAGUGUAUAUACCAGCAGUGUUGGGAAAGUUUCUUUUUAAAAGGAAUCCGUCCCUUUAAUUUAAAUUUUUUUUUUUAUCGAUACCUAUAAUAAGUCCCAAAAUAUACUUAUGUAUUUUUUUUAUUUUUAAAUUAAAAAUACUUAUAUUUAAUUUGCUUCGGAAACGUACAUACUGUAGGUUUUCGUUAUACAUCAGCCAUUCGCGUACUUAAUUAUACAAUUUGGUAAUGUACGGGAAAAUUGUAAAAAACGAACGAAUAUUUGCGUUCACGUUUCCCAUAAAUAGGAACCUACUUGUUCUUUUAUUUUGAAAGCCGCGCGUUCCGCGAUUCUUUCCCGGAUAAAAGGAACGCGUUCUUCGUUCACAACUUUUGUUGUACACUCACGGAAUACAAGCAGACGAUCGUAAAACAACGAGUGUUUUUAUGCGCGGCGAUUGGCUGUGUAAUAUUUUAGAUAGCUUAUGAUAUAUGUAUUAACAUACAACUAAAUAUUUAUACGUCUGCGAUGUUGACAAUGCAACCCCGUAACCCGGUAAGAUAGCUCAAUGAAAAGUUUCGAUACGUUAAGCCGUAGAUUAAUAAUUUAUUGUAAAGCCUACAAUAAUAUCGAAAUUUGUCGUCGGGUCAUCCCGACGGUCAUUCACAGAACUCAUCUAAAAGUUUUACCGAACAAUAUCGGACGGGGUAAAGUCACGCGGGUCCCGAAAGUUUUGUUUUUCAAUUCUCGCGUUGUAUAAAACGAUUGUCCUCGUUGUCGCGGUGACCGAUCGUAGUACUCCCGUGUAUGGUAUAUAAAAAAAAAAAAAAAAAAUCGCCCGGCCAACACACAAUCGUAUACGUAUAUUUAAUACAGUGGUGUCGAUUUAUGCUCUUUACAUACUAUGUAUAUUAUAAUACAGUUACCGUUUGAAGUUACCGGUAUAUAAAUUAGCUUUUCGCGCCGUUGUUCUUGUUGUUGUUAUGAUAUAUAGAAUGACAAUAUUGUACACGCGCGCGUGUGUGUGUGUGUGUGUGUAUAGCGUCGGAGAGAAGGAACUACUGCGGCGGCGGCGGCGGGGAGGGAAGGAAAAACAUUCCGUGCGCAUUAUAUUCCGAAAGCCGUUCGUUUCGUAUUCGUAUACAUCUAUGUAUAUUACGCGGGUGCAGUGGCUGAAACGGGAGGGGGGGGGGAAAUAAAAGGGGAAAAAACUGGUGCGAUGACACUCGGCGGCGGCGUCAUGAUUUAAGACUCGGCCGGGCGCUCGCCGCGCGCGCACGCACCGCGGGUAUAGGCACCGCGUUAAUAUUUAUAAUGCGCUCCGUUCGAACGUCAUCCACAAAGGGCAAUUGUACCGGGUCUCCUUUCCCCGUAUAUAUUUUAUUAUUAUAUUUGUGUAUUUACGUCGCCCGCGGUACCGGGAAAAUCGGUAUCGUAGGUAUUAUACGCAUAUACGUGUAUAUACGUAACUGCGCGUUAUGCGAUUAAAUCUCCGGUUUGUUUCGUAUAAUAUAAUAACGCGUAUAAAAUGUUAUUGCGCGCAUUUCGUACGGCCGUAUCCGAUAUUAUAUUAUUGGCAACUCGGCACGGCAGCCGCGGCACCGGCGCGCCGCCGACGCUGCCGCGGUUUGUACGCCGCGCGACGAUACCAUCGGCGUCGGCCGCGAAAACGCGCGCGCGCUCCACUCGCCCGUACAGAUAAAAUAAUAUUAUUGUUUUAACGUCGCGCGCACGUGACAUCGCGUAUAUUAUGUAUACGUAUGCGUAUUGUACAUUAUAUUAUUGUCGUUGUUGAAAUACGGACCGCGGGCAGAUAAUAUCCUACAGCGGCCGCCGUCGUCGGUGCCGCGAUCCGCGGCGGCGAGUGUCGGAAAACUCGCGCGCGCUAACGGAUCCGAAGGCGGUAACGAAACUACAUCGGUUUUGGGAGGGGGGGGGUUCGGUGGUGUAGUGUGAUGAGGACUGGACGGACGGACCGCCACUUAUCCGCGUGUCGGCGCGCCGAACGGAAAUAGCGUUUAUUUUUUAUUUUUUUUUUUUUUUUUUUCCGAGGGGUAGUCAAAUCGAUUUCACUACCCCUCGGAAAAAUGAUUUCCCUGUUCUCGCCCGACCCCUUGCGCGAAAGUGCAAUGUAUAGUUUGGACGAUUCGUUUAGUAAUAAUAUUGGUGGGUUUACGCGGGUGACCGGAAAGAGUUCCAAUAAAUAUAGAGCCGCUUAUGAAGUAGUGAAUAUUUUAUUACGCAACGGAAAGACUUUUGUUCAAAUCUGUAGGUGACGUUCGAAACUAUCGUAUACUUCGAAUUGAAGUAAAUAAAAUCGAAUUUUGAACUGAAAUUUGAUUUCCCUGUCUCGCGUAUUUCUAUCGAAAAUAUUCAUAUAUCGGUUAAUAAUACUCGUAGAGACCUGCAUUUUUACAAACAACUUGUAUUGGCCUUUUCUAAACGUGGUAAAAUUCUUGAAAUAUUCUGACGAUAUCUGAACUAUUUGUAUGCAUUUUACAUUUUCUAGUUUGUUUUUUUUUUUUUUCGGAAUUUUUAUUUGGUAGAUAUUAUUAUUUAUGAAUAAAAUUGUUUGACCAAACAGAAAUUCUUGACAAUUUAUUUCGAGGUUCAUUGUAAGUUGCACUUAGUGGUUAAGUUAAUGGAGCUCAAAAUAGUGUUUCGUCAGCAAUGAUUUAUCGCGUCGUUGAUUGCAGACAUAAAUUAAAUAAUUUAAUUUAUCCGAACUUCCCAAUGACAACAGUGGCACACACACCAGCAGUAUUAUAGCUCUUUUUAUGUAUAUAUCUAUUGGUAGUAUUGGAUGUACUAUUGUACUUUUAGUACUACAAACUUCAACGUCGACUUUUGAUAUUUUUUCCAAUCAAUUGUUCAAUAGGACCGAAUGGGAUUUAUCGGAGUGUUUUCGAAAAGUUAUGAUAAGUUAUAGUAGUGCCGGCUUCACGUAUGUUACAAUUUCGUUAUUAAAUAAUCCGUACAGUUAACUCCUAUACGUAUAUAGUUAUAUACAUGUAUACGGUAACUUUGGAUUGCUGCUGUUGCUGUUCGCCACUUCAAUACAGAAAAUAAGUUUACCUAGUUUUUUUUUUUUUUUUUUUUACCUAUACAAAGUAUAUUAAAUCAAAUCAAACGGGCGCGGCGGCAUGAAGUGAAACGACAAUAAAUUCGCCUAGGGCCAGGUCCAAAACCGCUGUCUGGUUAAAUCCUUCACUGUGGGUUAUAAUGCACUACCCGACUGCGGCUCAUUUAAUAAUGACUUCAAAAUUGACUUUUGAAACGCCGUGGUCGUUACGGGCGACAAUGGAGCAAAAAACUCGAGACUCAUGCCUGUUUAUAUAUACGUACUAGUAUGUCGAUUGUUGUGUACACCGGUGGGUACUCAAAUGCGUGUAAUUAUAACGUUCAUAACGGAAUACGAAGCCGUAAAACCCAUAUGUUAAAUAAUAUAAAUGUUUUCGAAAACAUGCACUAAGUUUUUUUCCACGGCCGACAAUGCAAUCCGAUUAUUAUACGUAUAAGAUAUUGUACGCGUAAUAUACGUCAUACACGAGCACACAGCUGCGGUAUACGAACGAAACUUGUUACAUUAUUUACUGUUUUACACGCGCCUCUGCCUAGUACUUCAAAAGUUUUCUUCCUCCGAAUUGUUUUCACAUUCAAUCUGUUCCGUGUUCAUAAUAUUAUAAAACAAACGCGGAUCGAUUGCAAAUCGAGUUUAUUGUUAUUCACUGGGUAUUAUUGCAAAUGUUAUUGUUAUUUAUCGGUUUCUUUACUCCGCCGUUAUUGUUAUGUUAUCGGUCUACAGGAGCGCGGAGGCGCACAAAAUCACUGCACGGCGCACACGGACAAAUAUAUAAUUUACCUAUUGAACACGUGUAACACGUAUAUAAUUGAUUUAAAAAUAAAUUUUAAUUGAUAAUGAUCGAUUAAAAUUACGCGCUUUAUUGCACUUGGGCGUCCGUAAACACGGGUUCAAUAUUGAUAUUAAAUGUGACACAGUUAAACGUUUUACGCAAUUUAUUAUUUCGAGCGCACGCGAUCGAGCACAAUUUUUUAUAGACAUAAAAAAAAAAAAAAAAUAGCUCGACUAAAAUUAUUAUAAUAAUACGUAUCGCGUGCGCGCGCGCGUAAGCACGUUUAAUGUAAAAUGUAACCGAGAAUGUCCGUUGACGCAAAAUUAAUUAUAUUUUAUACCGAUAAGUUAAAUUGUACCACACGAAGACAAGUUUUUUUUUCUUCCCCCCCCUUCUCCCGCCCGACUUUACAGUUGUAUCCUAAUAAUAAUAUUAUAUAUGGUUUUGGUCUCGCGUGUAUUAUUAUUAAUGUCUCACCCGUCGGACCGAAUAUCAAAACGCCGCGUUCAAAAUCAAGUCUCGUUAUUAUUUCCGAGAACAAUUUAUCGUUUCAGAUCGAAAAGAUAAAUAAGUGGACAAAUAUAAAAAUAACCCAUCCGAAAAUUAAACAGAUAUUAUUUAUUCUACUAGUAACGAAUGUUCCGUCGGGAUUCCGCGACGACGACGACGACGACGACAACGGGGUGUAAACGUAUUAUAAUAUUAUUAUCGUUUCGUGUUAAGUAGCAGUCGUUCCCGAACCGAUAUAAUAUUUUAACGCCGCCGACACCGGCACACACAAUAUCCCGAUGGUUUUCGUUAAUAUUAUACUCUCGUUUUACGUCUACAGAAAAAAAAAAAACUCCUUUUUUUUCUUUAUUAUAAUGUUUUCGGGAAAAAACGAUAUUCGGUCCGGCGUCGGCGUCGUCGUCGUCGUAUUAUAAUAAUAAUUAUGCGCGUGUGUUUCUCGAGUCAAAACAGCGGGCACCUAUUAUUACAGAAUAAUAUUUAUGUAUCGUCUUUUUUUUCAAAUACGUAUAUUAUAUUUUAUUUUAUUUCGAGACGUUUCGGUACGCGUCGUGUACGCGCGUAUAAUAAAUUUCCCGAUUUCGAGAGAAAAUAAAAAAAACAACCCGUAACCGUGCGGGAUACGAAAACGCUCGUAAUGUCGCGUGUACGACGAUCGCGUGCGCCGACCGAGCGGAAAAAAAAAAAAAAAAAAACCGUUGCCCGGGUCUUGUCGCGCCGCUUACCGGCCCCGGGCCGUCGUCUGCGUCCUCGGGCGUUCCCGGACGGUGCGUACGCGGCGCGGCGGAAUCGUUAUCACAGACCGCGGCGGCGGCGAUUAAUGGAAACCCCCCCCCCCCCCCCGGUUUUCGACGCCGCCGCGACGCGUCGCGCGACUCCCGAGCCCGUGUACACGUAAUACACGUAUUAUUAUGACGUAUCGCUGUCGACGCGCGCACACGGCAACAUUGUCAUAAUGUCUCCGACGCAUGAUGCGUGCGCGCGCCCACACACGUUUACUUUCCGUGUCACCGCGGCGGCGUUCGUCCGCACACACGCGUACUCGCGAACGGUAGUGGCGCGCCGCCGCCCCGGGCUGCACGCGCGUUCCGUUUCUCCCGUGUACGUUUAGCGACGGUAACGGGGGGGAAAAACACACACACACACACGACGUUUCGCCGUUCGUUUUUCGGCGCGGCGUCUCUGCGGCCAUCCGCGAAAAUACCGCACGCGCAACAGAUUUCGCAUAAUAAACGCGCGUAAACGUAUUCCCGCCCGCCCGCCCGCCCGCGCGUACGCGCGUUCGAAACGGUGCCCGUUUGCGACAGGUUUGAUCGAACCGCGUUUUCGCGUCCACGAGAAUUAAGAAAAUAAUCGUUUUUCUCAACGUUCUACGCAACGGUCACUUAUUGCCGCCGCCGUAGGGGUCGGCGGCGCGCGCUUCGGAUGGAUAGGCGGAGAUUAGAAUGUUAUCGCGUUAGCCACCCUUUGGCAUUUUUUCCCCCGCCCGUCUUCCGCAGUUUAAUGUAUAUAUAUAUAUAUAUAUAUAUAUAUAUAUGUAUGUAUGUAUAGAACAUUUUCCUUUUCAGUGGUCCGGGGACGUUUUUGCAGCAAGAGCGCCGUCGUCGUUCGUCCGGCAUAAUCGAAUCGAAGGAGCCGGGGUCGGUAAACGGGGCAGAACGCGGAACACCGCCAAACCGACUUGGCGGUCGAAACGGAAAUACGUAUUGGUUAAUAAAAUUGUCCCGUUUGAGUUAAAUACUGUAACAACAGAAAUUAACGUUGCGCGACGAUCAAACUCGCGAGGGAUAAAUGCGAUUCGUGUUGCCGGCACAAUAUUAUACCGUACAAAUGUAAUUAUCACAACAUGUACGCGGGCUAAAAUCGCGAAACUUUGGACGAAACCCAAUCGAAAAUCAAGAAAAACGCCUUCUCGGGCGCAUCGCGGUGUAACGUUUACGCGACUAUAGGUCUGUCUUAUUCUAUACAUACGUAUAUAUAUAUAUAAAAUACAUAUCAACUGCCGUAGAGGAGGAAUCUCGCGGUCGACUCUUCCCAGACUUCCGGCCAGGAUGUUUGUCCACUUAAAAUGCUUUCCGCGUCGGCGCUAUCUCUUCGUCGGGGGUUAAGUUUGUGAAAUAGUCCGUCGGCGGUGUUUUUAAAUUCGCAUAUACUCUGUGUGCGCUGAAGUACGCUAUACGCAUAAGUAUAUACGUGUACACAUAGGAUUUUCGUUUGAACGUGAUGGUCAAUUUUCGCUUAACCCGAGACUAAUAGUACCCAUCCCGGACAACUGACGCGUGCGGUAAGUACAACGAAAACCCUAACCGCGCGCGGUUAUAGGCGUACACGGGCUCUGCGAUAUAUUAUUUGUUAUAUUAUUUGCGGGCGGCUCAAGUUAUUUUUUCGUAGUCGGCCAACCACAAUUAUUAGCCCCGACAACCCUUCUCGCUGCAGGCCUAUACGUGACUGCAAUCGUAAUCUCUCUCUCUCUCUCUCUCUAUAUAUAUAUAUAUGCAUACACAGGUACGACGUGACCUUAAGUAUUGACCGCGGUUAUAGGCAGUGUUGACCGCGUUAUUGUUACCAGUUUGGUGGAGCGCAUAUCAAAAUAUAAAUUUGCGUACCGUAAUCGAGUAGUUUAAAACCAAUUUAGUAUAGUGUUAAAAACGCAUACAAGUUAUUACAACGAAUAAUAUUAUCGAAAUAUUCGAAUAUUCGAUUAAUUGACCAUCGUCAGAGUGUGAACCGUUUGGGUCUCGGGUGUAUCGUUCGCCGAGUGACGAAUUUUCAAAAACGUAUACAUCGUAUACACGGGCGUGCGCAGACUUCAUUCGCAGGUUAUGCAAUAUGACGAAUAGGACCCCUACCAAAUCUAAAACCGUACCGAGUCACAUUUUAUUGAAAAUAUUAAAACAUAUAAAGUCCGAGUCUUUUUUUUAUCGGCACAAACGUUUCGAACCCAUCCGUUACUUCUCCAAUAUUGAUUUCCGAUGCCGAUUUGUUCGUCCAAUAAAUAUCAGCAUAAGUGAAUGUUGACGAUAUUGUAACGCGGUGCUUCUGAGUUUAGAUUUAACAAUAGGCAAUUUGAAAAAAGCCCGCUCGCGCGAUCGAUUUGUCACGGGUAUUGUUGAAAACUGUCGCAUUGCUUUGUUGAGGUUAGAAAACGUUGUUUUUUUCCCCUACCGUUUCCCGAUAACCAAUAAUCGAUGCAAUUGUUUUAGUCGAUGACCCUCUAAUAGAAGUUGUGUCAGACGUGUUUUUUUAAUGUGUUUAAUUUCACACGCAAACGAACUAUCUAAAUUGAAUUUUUCGUACUACACGAAGCCGCAAACUACGUGCGCGCGCCUAUGAUUGUAUACGACAUAAUAUAUUACGAUUUUUAUAAUUGGAUACACCGGAGAUGGUCGUGUGAAUCGUCGAUUUACGGCAGACACUGAUUCGAUCCGUUUACAUCACCUCCGAGUGAUUCGAUUCAAUGGAUCCACUCGUAAAACGCGCGCAUACCUCUUAUUGUGUGUGCUAUUGUUCCGCAGUUGUAUUACAGCCGGUCACUGUCGAGUCGAAUCACGUGAUUGUAUGUGUUUUGGUUAUUUCCAGGUAGUUCGUCGUACGUGCAAUAUACGAGCCGGUGAUUCAUGAACGAUGUCUACGGUUUUCCCUUUCCGCGUAAAAUAUCGAAAAUAUUGCGCGGUUUCCUCACUGUUGUCGAUGCGGCGCAAAUGUGCACUUACUUGUGACGAUUGUGACGAUACCAAUGCAUUUAAAUGUCGAUGAAUCGUGUCACGAAGAUCCGUACAAAGUCAACGGUAAAAGCCGAGCACCGCAACCGAACGCGAUCGACUCUGCGCACCGGUUCUCCGGCCGAAACGAAUCCUGUAAACGUUGUCUACGGGAGAAUAUUGGCGGUGUCGCCGAAUCUCGCGAAACGGCAGCGUUCGUACACGGUACAGGGAUAUCGUAAACGCGAACCGAGACCGCUGACGGUGUACGGGCCGUUAGAAGCGCGAACGUUAAACGGAACGCGAUUGGGCGGUCCGAAGUGUCCCGACCGACAUUUAAGGGUGGGUGGGGAAUAUCACACGACGUACGAAACACCGCCGGUUUCCGUGCGCCCGGGUUAUUCUCGUGUGCUCCAGGUACGUACGAUAUUAUUAUCGCACGCGCCGCGACGGUUUUCUUCUCCGUCGAGGGGGAGCAAAAAAAAAAAAAAUAAAUAAAUAUAUGAAAUACCGGCGAUCGCGCGCGCAUGUGCCCGGCAAAUGUUGCGGUCGGUCCGUCGCCGUCGAUUAGUCCGAGACGGAUUAACGUGGCGGCACGCGCGCGCGCGUAUCGUUGACGGCGGCUAUACGUUCACGACAUGAAACGCGUAAAUGAAACGCGCGCGGCCGCGAGGUUGUCACGGCGAGUGAAACCGACGGAAAUAAAAAUAUCUCAUUUUCUUGUCCGCGGGGUUCCAAUUCAUUAUAAUCGUGCGCGUGCGUGUGGCUCGUGUUAUUGUUGUUGUUGUUGUUGUUGUUGUCGCUGCGUUACUGCGCGGCCUUCGGCUGCGGGUUGAUGUCUCGAUUGCCGUUUGCAUUGUGCGCGGGUCUUGUAAAUCUCCGCGCGUCCGACGAAGGGCUUGACAUCUUAACACAGUUGAUAAAAACCAACAAACGUCAAACAAAAAAAAAAAAAAACAGAUAAAACCCCGUCAAAUCCCCUAAACAAAACAUCACCGAUCAUAGUCGUUUCGACCACAAUAAUCUCUUGUGGUUUCGACGUUUUGUCGAUAUAUUUUUCGUGUUUUAAUAAUAUUAUUUGGGUUUUUUUUGUUUUUCAGGCUCUCGAAUCGAAAUCGUCUGAUGCUUAAUCUGCCAACAAAUGUUUUAACCGACGAAAACUAUGUAACCGAGGUGAGUGUUAACCUUUUCAGAUCUAUCCAUUUACAUGUUUUACAUUUGAUAUAAGCGCACUCGGGGUGUUGUAGAGUUUAUGCGUUUAUCGAGGUAAAACUCUAAUUGGGAUUCUCGUUAAUUUGUUAUUAUUGUUUAGCUUUUUUUUUCUUUUUUACACAACUUGCGCUAUAAUAUUACACAGUCCUUCUGGGCGGCGACGGUUUUAAAUGUCUCGCCGAUUGGCAUUGGCAUGUAGAGCACGUGACGAGUCAUCUAAAAAGUAUAAAAUGCGCUGUUUAAGCGCCCGGCAUAGUAAUUAAGACGUCGUGUCUGCUGCAGGUAUAUACUCUCUCGGAGUACAACAAACAGAAAUCUGGUACGAUUCUGCUGUUCGUGAUGAAUACAAAACGAGCCCGCCUAGGUUACCGGUGACACUAUUGUCGUGUUCCCCGACUCAGAUUAAAUAAAAUAAACACGCCCGUGGAGAGACCCGUAAUAGGCAGGUUCGCUAUGAACUCACGAUCGGACAUUUUAAUUGGAAUAAAUCAUUUUCGACCGUCAAUUGUCGCGGUUAGAAAAGAGCUACAACAGCAGCAGCAGCAGCAGCAGCUGCCGCUGGAUCAGCGCCAACCUCCUUUGCCGGGAUAGAAUGUGACACUUACGGGGGCGUGGCCGACGUUUUCCGACGUAUUAUAUUAUUAUUAUUAUUAUUAUUGUUAUUAUGAUCGCGUGAUAUUUAAUGAAGUAUUGAAGUUAUGCGCGUGUCCCGGCGCCAGGUGCAGAGAAAACAGUAUAAUAUAAUCGACUUUUUUUUUUUUUCGUUACAUAAUCCCAGAAUGAUAUAUACGUAUGUACUCGUAUACAGUAAUAUAAUAUUACGAUAUUCUAUACGUGUUACUGCACCCGGGGGACCGGGUAUACGUAUGUGUGUACCCAGUGUUCGAAUUAGUAGAAAUUAAGUAGAGGAGCUCAAUCCGACAAUUUAAAACUACGUUCCGAGUGCACAAUCACUCAACAAAAACCCGUGGGGGGCAUCGCCCACCGCUCUUUCCACCUUACCGGCAUUUCGCUUAACACUUUUCGGCUACAAACAUUCAAAUAAUUCCAAUUAUAUUUCGACAUCAAAAUCCUUUUAAAUUGAAAUCCACAUUAACGGACGUUAACUUGUGCCGUUCAUCCCUCCCCUCCCCCCGUUCUAGUAAAAAAAUAUAUGGUCGGGGCGCGUAAAAAAAAAAAAAAAUGCAUCAGAAGAGUUCCGUCCCGAUGCGCAACCCCCCCUCCCCCUUCGAGCGAAUUCGAGCACUGUUUAUAAUACCUCUAACAUAGAUCGUUAUUGAAUAUAUUGUAGACGGACGCGCGCGACGGUUAGACAAUCAAAAUUAUUAUUUAUUACACUCGCGUGUACCAGAAGUGUAUCGUCUCUUCCGGCCCGCGCAGCCGGACCGUAAUUUUUCGUCCGUCCGAAAACGUUCGCCUCGUUUUCGGCGACGAGACCCCGGACCGUAACGUCCGUUCUCGGAGUGUGCGCGCGCGCGCACAGGUCUGCCCGGACAUCAUUAAUCAUAUUAUUGUUAUUACCGUGCGCGCCGGAGUUUAUCCCGCGCGAUUCACGUGACACUACGAUCGCUCAAAAACGGGGAUUAAAAACAAUAAUACCGGUACGCGCGGACCGCGACGUCAAAUGCGGACGGGCGGGCACGGGCGGUCGCGUUAUUAUCGCCGCGUAAGACGGCCCGGGCGCAUUAUCGACUCGGCGAGCGGUAGUCGCGACGCGCGUCCGGGCGACCGGAUUUGUCUCGAGACGGUCGCCGCCCGCGUACGCGCGCAUUAUGUCAAUACGGUACGUACCCGCUGUCGCACUGUGACGUAGUAAAAAGUCGUGUUCCCGCGGACGGGCACAAUAAAAUAAUACGGGUUUUUUUUUUUACGGCCGGGGUUUAGGUAUAAUGAGAGAGAGAGAGAGAGAGAGAGAGAGAAAAUUUAAAAAGUCCGGAACACGUAAUAAAAUAUUUACGGUCGCUUCGCGGAAGCUGUGCCGCACGAAAUAAUAUACAAAACGAAACAAACGUCGCGAUUUCCUUCUUCUUUACCUGUACGUUUUACCGUCUUUGACCGUUCUUUUGGCGCGUAUUAUUGUUGUACUCUACGUUUGUUAUUUUUUUUCCUCCUCGGUAGCAUUAUGUUCUGUGUCGCACACGGUAUAAUAACGUAUAAAGUAUUUUCCCUGACUAGAACGAGGGUGUGCAUUUUUUUUUUUCUCUAUACAAUAUUGCGGUUUGGUACAAGGGACACGUUCGAAUUUAGAAAAAAAAAAAAAUAAUAAUAUUAUUAUUAUUAAUACGGUCCUCGUUGUGCUUUUCUUUUUUUUUUUUUUGGCAAAGAACGCAGAUUGAAGAAUACAAUAACAAUAAUAAUGAAAAAGAAAAAAAAAAUUUAAUAAUAAUGUAUGCGAGUGUAUAGUAACAAUACGUGUUUUACGCGAGAAAACAAUAUUUAACUGAACCCCAAUAGCGAAUAUUUCACACGUAAUAUAAUAUUAUUUUUACGCGUGUUUAUCAAGGCUUCGAUUUUCGCACGUAAAAUUCUGCAAGGACCCUACCCGCGGGGGACGUGACCCUGGGUACGCAGUCAAAUCACGGUCUGGGGUUUUUUUUUUUUUUAAUGAAAUUCACAAUAUCCUCCGUAGUAUAUUUGUAUUAUUAUCUGAUAACUACAUAGUUAAAAUAAUAAAACAUACCGCGUGCGCAGUAUGUUUACAAUAUAAAAUAAAUAAUAAAUUGACAUUGUACGCGUUGUUAACGCGUAAAAAAAAAAAUCCAUUGUAAUUUGUAUAUAUUUCGUUAUUAAAAUAAUUACACGACGACGGCCGACCGACUAUACUUGGGUAUAUAAUACAUACCUACAGCAUGAUUAGUAUUUACUAAAAAUGAUUGACACGUAAAAAUUGUCAAUAAAAAAUAAAAAACCCUCAACCGUUACACAUAAUAAUAAUAAUAAUAAUAUAAUGUGUAUUUUAUAAUAUGUAACGACGAUAAUGUGGCAUUGUGCUAUUAUGAUGUUAUGUAUCCGUCCGACGGUCCAGGGCCUGUCGUCCAUUGAAAGUCGAUUUUUUUUUUUGUUACGAACGCGCGUCUUAAUUACAACGACGAAAAUGUAUGAUAAUUUUUCUUUUCUAAUAAGAUACAGGUGGGUAUUAUAGGUAUGUGUAUGUGUGUAGGUAUUAUAUCUCUGUCAAUCAAUUUGUAUUUGGUUAUUUUUAAUUCUCGCGUACAUUCAAUCAAACCUGUUAUUAGACGUGAUGCCUAUAUUAUUAUAAUAUAAAUUAUAAUACGUUAAGGAUUAUAAGACAAAAUAUAAUAUCCCGCUGUAUUAUAUUAUAAUCGUUAACUUUAUUAUUAUUAUUUUUUUUCUUCCAUACACGAUCGACGGUCAUGACACGUGUAUACAUACCUACGACACGAUGACGUAUUUCGAAUUUUUUGACGGGUGAAAAAUCUGAGGAAACGGCGUUUUAUUAGAUUCCAACGUAAUAACCGAGCCAGCGCAGUUCGUACAGUGGCGCGGACAUCGUUACAAUGUUGGCGUGUAAACGUGAUUUGCCGCUCGAGGCCAAUCGCGUAAACAUCAUUCCGAGAUAAUAUUAUGAAUUAUGGUAAUGCGAAAAACUGAAAUUUCGGGUAUUAUCCGCGAUAAAUAAUACUUAUUUACACGUUGACCUGUUUGAUUUUCGCCGAACGUUUAUGUUUUUUUUUUUUUACCGUAUACAUUACACCCGUAUGCUUAUGCAGUAUAAUAAUGGUAUGUUAUAGUCGCGCGAAAAUCCCGGCGUACCCGGCGUGUUUUUUCUCAACGUGGUUUUCGCCGGCGUAACACGAACCUUUUCACACUAUCUCGAAUCGGCGGUGAUGGUGGUGGUGGGGGCGGGGUGGUACAAGAAGAAAAUAAAUACGAAAUUUCCUACACGGAGUAACGUGUAGUGUUUGAAGCAACAACGACCAUUUUAUCCGUAAACGAGCGUUCGAUUUGGAUUACGAGCGUACCGUGGAGUCUUAGCAGUUUUACCACGAGACGCGACGGUUUAUACUGUCGCGAGGGAAAUUCGUCGGGUGAAAACGGAUCGCGCAUUGCGGGUUCUCGCGCAGAAAAUCGUUUUCGCCGGAACGCUUCCGGACCGGCACGCCGCGGUACGACACGAAUACGGUUUUCGGCGUUGCGCUCGGCACGUCACUGCGAUAAUAUUUCAUCCGGGCCCGCGCAUCACUCGGGGGAAUCGCACCGAUGCGACGACGGCCGCGACGUUUUUGUCCCGAUCGAUACGCGACGACGGCGGCCGCGGCAACUGCGCGAUAAUAACGAUAACGAUAACGACAACGACAAUAAUCGCGUAAUCGUUAUCAUAACAAUUACGGCGAUACCGAGUAUACGAGGGAUCCUCCCGGCGGCGGCGCGGUGUUUUAUUUCUUUUGUCCGGCGUUACAAAAUUUUCCAGCCGUUACGACCCGCGGGUAAAUCGUGUGCCGUACAACGUACGUGUAUGCACACACGCGCUCGUACCUGUAUAAUAAUAAUGAUAAUAUUAUUAUUAUUAUUAUUAUACUAUACGGACACAGAGCCGUGUGUACGGGUAUAUUAUAUACAGGUACCACGGUUAUCAACGUCUAUACACGUAUUAUGUGCAUACCGCGACCGUGGUAACAUUGUGUGUGUAUAUAUAUAUAUAUAUACAUUCGGUUUCAUGGCGCGCAUCACACACCGCGACGGCGAAGGCCAAUCGGCGGUACUAUCGCCGCCGUUGUAUAAUUUAUAUCGGCCGGUACCGGAGACGGAUUAUUAUUAUGAUCGUUAUUAUUAUUAUUAUUAUUAUUAUUAGUGUUCGCUAUGCGUUUCCCAGAGUCAAUAAUUUUCGUGUUUCUUUUUCGUCGUCCCUCGCGCGUUUAUAAUAAUACGAUUUUUUUCGUAUAUAUAUAUGUAUAAAGUCGUCACGGCAACUCUUCCCUCCCCCCACCUCCCCAGAACUACCGACCCGUGGCCGGUCGGGGGAGGUGUGGUAUUUCGGGGGGAGGGGAGGGGGGGACGGCGACGGCGUUCGAGUCUCCGCGGGAUAAUUCAUAAUGGUCGACCGGGGGCGCGGUGGUUCAACGGCGUUGCGUUCCAUUUUGUUGUACAAAUAAUAAUACACACAUACACACACACACACAAUGCGUGUCGUACAACGUUAUAGGUAUCAUAUUAUUAUAUUAUACGUUUUUUUUUUUUUUUUUUUUUUUUUUUUUUUUCUUACUAUUAUUAUAUUUUUUUUAGUUAACCGUCGGGGGCAGACGCGGCCAUGUUUCGCGUCGUCAAAGGACUCGUAGCCGAUGCCGGCCGACCGGUUGAUUAAGGCGUCGUUCGCGCUUGACACCCCCCCCCCCCACCGUCCACUCAGUCAUACAUCACCCACCCCCACCACCACCACUCGGUCGCUAAUUAAUCACCAGAACAAUUUGACGAAAAAAAAAAAAAAACAAAAUAAUAAUAAUAAAACCCUAUUACGGACAACAAUAAAAUAUUAUUGUUAUUAUUAUUAUUAUUGUGUAUACGCGCGAUACAUGCGCGCGCGAAGAUAUCGGUCAUAAAGUCGUCUCACCGCCGUCCGUUUGUCGGUAACCGUGUAAUAACCGUGGUAGUAUAACCGCGCGUUUGCCGCACGUCGUCGCCGCCGCCACCACCCGGACAACGUAAUACAUAUGCAUAAUUUUUUUUUCGGUCGCAACGGACGACAUGUCCGGUCACAAAUAAUAACGAUAAUAAUUGUGACCGGGUCGCGUCGACGGGUAGGUUAGGUACAAUAAUAAUAAUGUUAUUUUCGACGGCGCAUUACCAUAAUCUCGUGACACGACUCCGCCGCCGCCGCCGCCGCCGCCGCCACUCUUUUGAACGCGAGAGGGCUCCCGUCGCCACAGCCGCCGCCGCCGCCGUUUGUACACGUCGGGUCGUGUAAUUUAUAGCCGCCGGAGUUUCGAAAAUUCUCGGCCGGUGCGCGCCGGCAAUCGUAUACGCAAUAUCCGUCGGCGGCGCGGCGAUAAUUAGUCAUCACGUUACGACGCUUACUAUUAUUUUUAAUUUUCGACGAUUUUUCUUUUUCUUUUCUCGAAAAUUAUUACACCGGCCAUUUUACACCCCCUCUAGAUACGCCAUGGCAUUGUGCGCGGCGUACGAGCGCACGCAUAAAACGACUGUACGGACGGUACCCGUCGUAUUUGACCGCGUACGGACAAUGGAAACACGGAGAAAAUACUCGGCUCGGCCGAAAAAGCGGUUCGCUGGACAGCGGGUCUUAUUCUGACGGCGUUCGUUAGGCGAACACGUUGCGUCCGUGAGUUCGUUGCACGGCCAGCGCAGCGGGCGGACAGCGUUUUCGUUAGCCGACCCGACCGUUCGUGGGACGCGGCAUAUCUUCUGCUUGUAUCCAAAAGCUCGUCCGUAGCUCCGCUCGAUUAAAGUAAAACACCGGCCGCCUAUUUUCGCGUAUUAUACGGUGCGCCCGCGUGAAAAUCUCCGGUAACAAUCAAACAUAUUGAGAUUUCGCCGGUACGCAGCGCGUAUUGUUUCUGUCGCGCGUCGUUUGUCGCGGUGUCGGGGCGAUCCCCCCACCCCUCCACCCCCGUACCUGAUUCGUUCGCACGUUGCCGUCACUCGGCGCGUUUCGAAAACCCCGAAAAAACGUCACUACGUCCCGUACCGGCCCGCGGGAACACGUCGAAUUCCGCGUGAUACAUCAUUUCGUAUUGUCCGUCCGAUAAUUAUGCGCGUACACCGUGUCCGACGACGAUUAAUCGUACACGAGUACCCACGGAUAUUGCGCGUUGCAGUCGCAGUCGAUUGUCGUCGCCCGCGCGCAGGUGAUCCCGACGACAAUACAGCGCGUCGGUACGCGCCGAUCCGCGGGGCCGAGUACCGUUUUCGAGGCGCGCGAAAAGACCAGCGGUAUAAGAAAAAAAAAAAAAAAAAAAAAAGAGCAGAAGAAAAAUGCGUUAUUGACACGGCCGCCGUGAUUUAUAUUCGCAUAAUACGCGCGGUGGAUGCGUUGCCCAUUAUUGUGCGCCGCGUACGACGAGUCGCGUUCGUAACGGAUAUGUAAUGUUAUUAUUGUAUUGUGUUGCAUUAUGCCGUCGUCGUCGUCGUCGCGUUCCAGCCGAAUCGUUUCCACCCGAGUGAGAAUCGGCGCGCGCGGCCGACGAGACGAGCGUGUAUUGUACGCGUCGUUCGUAUCAUCCGUUUUCGUAUUCCAUUCGAUUGUCCGCGAUUUUUAUUAUUAUUAUUAUUAUUAUUAUUUUUUUUUUUUUUUGCCGAACACCGACAAAAUAAUAAUAUAAACGUUAUGCGCGCCUCUUUUCGCCGUCCGUCCGGUGGAAGCGCACAUGGCUGACGUACGGAACUGCAUCGGCCGAGGAAUACCGCCGCUGCUGCACCGUUCGCAUACGAGCGUGCGUCGCGCGUGAUUCCGAACCCUAACUCGGCUGGCGCACGGCAUCCAGACGGACGAUCCCGUUACGCCGCCGCCGCGCUUCGACCCGUCCGGCGGCGUAACUGGAACUAGAACCGCGGCGAAAUAUUCUGUAAAGGCGCCGUUCCGAUAAGCGGCAGAUAAAAAAAAAAAAAAAGGUCAUUCAAAAAGAGCCACGCCCGUGUCCAACAAUACCUCGGUCAAGGUCUCUGCCGAGCCCCUCGACAGUUGUGGGCCCGCGGCGUUUGCCCGCCUUGCCCACACCAAGCAUUUACGCUACUGUCCCCGCCACAAACGAUACCGAUACGCGUAAAAAAUAAAAUACGUUCUGAAAACCGAAAAAAUAUAUGCCCUGAAAACGAUCAAAAUAUCCUAUUGAAAACAAAAAAAAAAAGUUUUAAAUUUUUAAUCUAUUUUUAUCUAUUUGAAUAUUUUUCAAACAGCGUAGCCGGGUUUUCUUUUCGUUGUUUUCCUUUAAUUAUUUAUUUGUAAACGCGUUGGAACAACUGAUUUUGAUACGUUCACAAACUAUUUGUGUUAUUUUCAGCCUGCUGGUAGAUUCACAAGCACAUAUCUAUGUUAUUCCGAAUUAAAUAAUGGUUCGCUGUUAAAGCAACCGACGGUGCUCUGUUUGUCAUCGGAUAAUUGGGAGUGACAGUCUCGUGGAUCUCGGUCAAAUGCAGUACCUCGAUCAGAUACGCGUCGUCUCUGAAAACGACACAUUUAUUACGCCACACCGGGGUCUAUUCGGUACAGCCAUCUUAGAGGUACUUCCCGUUUCGGUUGACUCGGACAAGUAUCUCCAAAAUAUAACAUUCGAACGUAUCAAAAUAUAGCUAUCAUUUAAAAUCGUUUGUACAGUUUGUUGUAACUGGUAUUCAAAUGUUAUUGCGCAGUUAUUGUUACAAGAUUGUGCACUAAAUCAAUUGCGGUUCGGAAAUACACCGCGGUGACUGCGACGUGCCGACGAUUAUUCAGUUCGAUUCUCGCGAAUAUAAUAUUUUCGCCUUGAUAUUAUAAGUUCUUGUGGGAACCGUUCGUUGCAGACAGAAUUCGUUUUUGUUCCAGUAUAGGUAAUACGUCUCUGGUGUGGCGAUUUAUCACGACGUGUUAUCCAUAGCGAACGCAAAGCAACGUGUCGGCGUCGGUUGGUACGCCUGCGGUGAAGAUUUAGCGGUAUAGUGAAAUGCAUUUUACAUGACGCAGUAUCAUACCUACAUAAUAAUAAUAUCGACAUUGCCGUAUACAAUAUAAAAACAAAACAAAAAAAAAAUAACGCACGUCUGUACGAGUAGUUUAUAGGACGACGUCGUCGUCUCGACUUACCGCUGCGGUCGAUAGAUCAAAAUAUCCGCGCAGUGUGCUGUACGGAUUUUUUAAACUCUGUAUACGCUCACCGGGAACAGGAAGCGCUCGGCAUAAAUAGUAAUAAAUUUACCGGCAACGGCCAAAGUCUCCUGCGAGGUUCUUCGUUGUGUGUGUGUUGUGCGCGGCAUACAGGUGAUUCGAAUAAAAUUAAAAAAAAAAUGAAGAAGUAGAAGCAUAGAGAAAACCGGUAAGGACGUUUAAGGAAAAUUUACGACUGCAGCAUGACGCGCAGACUGUAUACGCGUGUAUCGAGCGUCUACACAGUGAAGUUUUCUUCGCGGUUAGAAUAGAUAUCAUUAACUUUACAUAAAAAAAUAAUAAUGAUAAUAAUAAUGGCGCAUAUGUAUAUAUAUUUAUAAAACGUUCGACACAAGUUUCUGUAAAGUGCCGACGGGAAUGAAACGCGAAACUUGUGUAUGAAACGACGUAUUAAAGAUCGCAUUUGAGAUAAACCGUUGCGGCGUCCCUCGGGAUGCAUUCGUCCGCGCUUGUAUAUAAAUAUUACCGGAGUAUAUAUUAAUGAAAAAAAAAAAAAAAAAUCCUCGUUUUUCAUCGCCCUGCCGUGCGCGCUUCCGGUAAUUUACGACAAACUUUCGGACGGGUAUUGCUCUAAGCGCGCGCGAACUGUAUUACGGUAAUCCGGAAUAUUAAAAGCGCCGUUGCGAACGGUGCGCUUUUGCAUUAUCGUUUACCGCGAGGGCGGCGAGUGUAGGCGAUUUCAACUCGGCCGAAACGCGUAACAAUAUAUUAUUCCAAUCGCCGAGAGCCGCAGUAGUGUGUCUGUUUUUAUGAAUACAAAAUUGCCUAUGUAAAAAAAAAAAAAAAAUUACCCGCGAAAUCCGGUGACCCGGUCAAACGGUUUGUCGAUAUUCAAAUUACAUAUUAUGAUACUUGGCUAACUUACCCAAGAGAGUCGAUCGAGGACGGUAAAUCAUAAGUUUCGGAAGUACUCCGUCACUUGCCCGCCGCUGCGGUAAUAACUCGACAUGAUUAGACUAAGCAGCAAGUAACCGGGCCGAUUUUCGAUACAUUACAGUAUUAUAGUAGGUACGUGUGAGAAACGGAACGACGCAUAAUAAUAUUCGUACGGUUGAAAAAAAUCGAUAAAAUUAUACCGUAUGUUGAGAAAAAAAUAAAAACAUUAUUAUUGCACAUUGUAAACUACGUGUACGAGUGUAUUGCGUUAUUAUGUACAGCCGUACGGAUAAUCGCUUUAUUUUUAUUUGAUUUUUAUCUCUCUCCACUAGUUAUUAUGAUAAUAUAAUGCAGUUUGACGAUUAGUUCGGAAUUAAAUUGGUCCGGAUGAUUAUUAUAUUUAUAGGUAUAAUACGAGGUGGAAAAAAAAAAACCAGAAUACUCGAGUGGAAACUCGUUAUAUUGGACCGCGUCUCCGGGUGUUACUACACUAGACGAAUAAUAUUCGAUUGUAUAUUUUAAAAAAAAAUAAUAACGUACACGGCAUUUCGUAAAACACGUUCGUAUUUUUGUUUUUUUUUUUUUGUUCUUUUUACAUAUUUCGUCGUCUAUCACGCAAUAUUUUUCACGAUACUACUAUAUUGAAUUUCGGUCCGCGGCUAUUUUCGUGGCGGUGGGGGGGGAGAGGCAUUUUUCUUUUUCUUCUUUUCACAUCGGUCCCGCAGACUGCACGUAUAAAGGCGGGCGGCUGCGGUUACCCGUUACGGGUGUAGUGCAAAGUAUAAAGUCGAUCGUAAACCGGGCCGCGGACAGGUAGACAAUAACGUCUGCGGCGCGGUUUAGAGCUGGCGGCACCCCGUGCUACGGCGGCUGCGGCGGCGGCUGCGACGGCGGCGGCGGCGGCGGCACUAGGAGGCCACCUGGGAGGCGAACAGGCCGGCCGACCUUCGACGGGCAGAGCGGACCGCCGCCAUCGCACCCGAGAGUUGACGUCUUCAUCGGCACCCAUCGGGCGCGCGCUGCCGCCCGAUCAUUAUAUUAUUAUUAUUAUUGUUAUUAUUACGGAGACCCGAAACCGCCGCCGCCGCCCGGGUUAUCUCACCGCGUACGCGCAACAACAACAACAAUAAAUAAACGUUACUAUUGCACCUCGGCUGUAACGCGUGCAGUGCGUCGCGGCGUCUUGUACCUGUGUGCGUGUGUAUAUAAGGAAAAAAAAAAAAACAACAAAAAUAUAAUCGCCGCCGUCGUCGGCGGCUGUGGUACGGCGUACAAAGCGAGGAUUCACACCGCGGCGUGUUCGGGUGUUUUCGCCGCCGCGUUAUUAUUGUUAACGAGAUUGAUAUUAUGUUCGCCGGCGUUUAACAACAUCGGACGUUUUCGUCCUUGUAUCGCGUAUUUAACGCGUUUAUUAUUCGUGCGUACCGACUGUAAACAAAACAGAAAAAAAAAAAAUAGAAAAAAAAGAAACCCCCCGCCAAGAGCUCUGUGGCGUGAUGUGACGAAUCGUCUUUACCGUCAAGUGUUUUGCGGCGUUUCGCCAAUUGAAAAGCGUUUGAAAACUCAAUCCGAGUUCACCACUACUGGAACAGACAAUUGAUCAUCGUUAAAUAACGCGUGGGUGUGGCGUUAUUUUCUCAGAGUCGACUCUUGUACCUGAACCCAGAAAAAAUGAAUGUUAUUAGUUUAGUUCCAAUACUGAUAAUGACGUAACGUACAAUGCGAUAACAAGCGUUGUACGUAUUUUAUAUUUAUUGUUUGUCUGUUGUAAGACUCGGAGGGCUUCUGGGGACCAGCCCUUUGUAAUUUUUACCAAAACAAUUUCUGGAUAUCCGGGAUAUCUACGCGCGGUUCGACAUUUUUGUUCCGUCAUUUUAAUUUGCAAGGUAUAGCGAAGUCGCAAAACGAUGACCAUUAAUAACCGUAAACAUUGUAGGUAUCAUUGCGGUGGCUGUGUUAACAAUUCUAAUGACAUUCGUCACUGACGUCGUAUGCGAACUGUCGAUAGCGGAAAUGUUUGUCUUUGAGCACUUAGCUUUCAAGCCAUCGUCAAGGGUUUCGGAAAACCUCGCGUACGCCACUGAAUACAACCCUAGACCCGUCGAGCCGCCAUUGUAUCCAUAUCACGUACAGCAAUCGCUACGCCUUAACGGCAGUUUGGGGGCCAUUGACAACAGUAUAAUAACAAAAUAAUAAACAGACAGUCAGAAACGAACAAAUAAUAUUAUAAUGUCACACGGCGCGUUAAGUUAAUUAUGCGACGGCAACGGCGUUCCGCGUCCGAAUUAUCGCGAUAAUUAAAAUUAAUAUUAUUCCCCGAGACGAAGCGGCGGGAUACGGUUUUUUUUUUGUGUUCUCUCGGAUACGUCGGACUAAUUACGGCCGCCGCGCCGCGCAGUUUCGACCCAGUUGUGUCUCCGACCGCGGCACCACCGGGCGGACGGGCGAAAACGAUAAAAAUGCGCGGCGGAAAAAAAAAAAAAAAAACCCGCCCCCCCUCCUCCGAACGGUCCCCGGCCGAGACGACGACGUUGUUACAAUAACAAUAAUUAUGUCGAGGCGGUUUUUUUUUUCUUCUUCUUCUUCUUCUCGCAUAUUCCGAUGACCGGGUGGCGGGAGAACGUUAAUAAACCGGCCGGACGCACGGCUAUUGUCAAUGUCCUUUUCGGGCAACACAAUGACACGGGAGCGCGGGGCGAGCUGAUUAUUUCGCCGGUUAAUUAGCGUGCGCGUGCGCAUGGCGGAACCGGUGGCGGCGCAGCGAGUCGCGCCGAAGACGGCGACUGCACAUACGCGCGUGCAAUAAUACGCGCCGCGACACAAUACCGUCUCUUCUGUUUCUGGGCCGUCUGCGGAAUCCGGAAAUUUGCAUUCGCCAAUUAAACCGCGCGCGUGCCCAUACAUACUGUGCGGAUAAUAAUAAUAAAAAUAUAUUACGGAAAAAGCGAAGGAAGAAAAAAAAAAUCGCUCACUCUAUCCGGCGGGUUUGUGUCUCGUCGCGUCCGCGGACGAGGAGUGGGCGAGAGCGCGGGGGAGAGCGGCGGUCGGUGAACGGGCGAGGAAAAAAAAACCUUUAUUGUAGAAAACCCUCCGCCCCACCGUCAGUACGUUUUAUAAUAACAAUUAUAGAGACGCGCGCGCGGCGGCGGCGGCGGCGGCCAAAACGACGGGAUUAAAAUAAUCCGCCGCGGCUCGUGACGCCGCUGUUAACGGGCUCCUCUCCCGGUGUUUCGUCCGACCCGAGUUACGCUGCGCUUACGCGCGCAUUUUCCUUUGUGCGACGACGUAAUUAUCGUCGGACUGAUCUCCGUCGCCGGGGCGAUUCUUCUCCCGCACGUCUGCGGGAUAUGAACGAAAACGUAACAUAGGGGACUCCGUGCGGACAAUAUUGUGCUCGCGGUGUAGACGGUGCUCCCGCAGCGCACGUUCCGGUCAAAACGAACGCAGCGCGCGAUCGACGGGAGAUGCACGCCGUGUAGAUUCCACGGAGGAAGAGCACGCGGUGUCACGCGUGAGCCGACCCGUUGACGCCGGACGUGUUGGCCCGGUAACUGCGGUAACACGAAUGUCAGUGUCCCAUCUCACACAAGUAGUCGCCGUAGACCCGAAACGAACGGGCGAACAAUCGCGACCGGUUCAGAUAAAGUCGGAGCGGGAAUCGAAGUACCGGAAUUUUUCGAAACGGGCGGAAUUUAGCGGGAUCCGUCGGCACCCGAAUAGCGCUGAGGUCACGUUGGGUUCAACAAUUACAGUUCCAUAAUCCGGAUUCUCGGAUCCAAUCCGUCGGUCCGGACUUCGGGUCCGAUCCGUCGAUCUCGAUUUCAGAUUGCUGCACUGUUUUUUAGACAAACUCUUAUUUUUUGUUAUUAUCAAUAGUUUCCUCAACUAUUAUUGUAUCUUAAUAGUCUAAGCAAUAUUAUUGACGGAUACAAUUUUAGAUUUCUAUUGUAUACCUUAAUACAUUACCCAAUAUAAUUGAAAUUGGUUUUGGUGAUUAUUAUAAUACUCGUUUUCCACACAACGUGUUAUAACAUAAUCCGUAUAUUCGGGUCGGCGGUAUUCAUAAUCCGGAUUUAAAGUAACAGUCCGGAUUAAACGGAUUGCAACGUUUGUUGUUUCGAUCGAUCCGGACUUGGUGCUCGACACUAGUAUCCAGUCUAACGUAGUAUUGUGUCCGUAGUGCGGACGAAGAGGACGGCUCGCUUUGCUCUCCAAUACUCGAAUGGCGAGCCAAUGUCAGAUUUUCAAUCGAAAUCAAACUCCGAUUUGAAAACGUUUAUUUUACGAGGUCACACGAACGUUUCAGGAACCAAUGAUUAUCUUCCCGAUUUAUUCGCGUCCCCGUGCGCUGUGACCGAAACUCAUAUGUACAUUAUAUAUCAUUCGUCCAAUAUCAAGAUACUGUUUGUUAUAUAUACAUAUAUAUAUAGCCAAUAGGGUGUAUUGGAAAAAAAAAGAGAGAGUAGAUUCCGGUAGACGUUCGUUCCUCGGAGCUAUGCGUGUGUUUCGUUUUAUUCGCUUGAAUAGAUAUAAAUCUUAACGAAUAAAAUACGAUUCCGGAUUCCGAAUGGGAGCGCCUACACAAUAUACACGAGCCCUGCAUGUUGAUAACCCCGAUCAACACAACGUCUUACACGUUCAUUGUCUAGGAAUGUAUUACGUUUUUUCGAAAUUCGUUUUUUUUUUAUUAUUAUUUAGAUCGUUUAAGAAACUUCUCGCGAGCAGCUCCGUACCGUUAUUUUUUUCACCCUUAUUUUUAGAGGCGAGACCACUACACCGCGCCGUCAUAAAAAUGAUAUUCCUAGUAUAGGUUGCAAUUUGAAAAUAAAAAGAGGAAAGUGCUCUUUACGUUAUGUCUAAUCACCCUGUACAGCAGCGCCGGCAGUUAGUAACUUUAAACGUAAUUAGUGGGUUUAAAUCCGGAAAAACUUUUUCAAUUUUUCGCGUCAGAGUUUUGAUACACCAUACUCAUGACGUUUUUGAUUGGGGAGCUUGACGUCUGGUCGAAAACUUGUUUAUCGCAGACGUAAAAAAUAAAAUUAAAAAAAAAGCACCACGCAUAAUAUAGUAAAAACAUGACGGUAUAUUAUUAUUCCUCGUUCAGUGCGCUCAGAAUCUAUAAAAAGCAAAUCUGUGUUCUACCAUUCGUGUUCGAUAUUGUACGGUUAAACAAAAAUAAAACACGAAACUGAUCCCCGUUUAUCAUUAUUAUGAUGAAAUCGAGCAUGAUAAUAGAGGAACACGGGGUACGUAAUGAACACCCGAGGUAAUAAUGAGACGGCCGAUUAUCUGAACACAUUUGGCAACACUAGAAAAACGAACGCCAGUGGCGUGCCUUAGGAUACGCCGUUGACAUCGCUGUACACUCUCGAUGUUAUUUUUUCUAAACCCAAAUAAAUUCGAAAAUCAACUAAACCGUUCCGUUUGAUUGUUUCGUUUCGAUCACAGCCCGAGAAAAAAUGGUUUCUGUUUAUUAUGUAAUUAUUUGUCUGCAAAACUUUUUGCUUCUUUCUCCUUGGUGCUUAAUGCGUUGAUGAUUUAUACGCGUUUCUAACCGUCGAAAAAACACUGGCUAUACUUUAGCGGUCGAACAACAGUUUUUAUUAUUAUUAUUAUUAUUAUUAUUAUUAUAAAUCAUCGAAAUAAAAAGUUGAGAUUUUUAUUUAUUUUUUUUUUGUAUCUUAAUUUAUUCUGUCGUCCCCGAACGCGUUUGUAUAGUGAUUUCUUUAUUUCUUUUAUUUUUCUUUUUGUUUUAAUUGAAAUAAUGAAUGGAAUAUUCGGUAAUUUGGACCCGUGCCCAAAACGUAAAUUAGGUAUAUUAUAAUAUAUAUUUUAUAGCCGAGAAUAACAAAUUUGAUAAAAAAAAAAAAAAUUAACGUCUUGUAUAUCGGGAAUAACUCGAGACCAUAUUAUUAUCUUUAUUAUAAUAUAUUUGUGGCACGUAAUUACUACUAUUUUUUUUUUUUUUUUUCAUUUUGGCAAUCGGUCGUACCGUAUUAUGCGUUAUCAUAUUAACGCGAAAACCAGUAUUUUAUUUUUAGACUUCGUAUAAUAACGAUGUUUAAUUUCAUGUAUUGCUCAUUAUGCAUUUUGUUACGCACCCGUCCGUAUUGUAAUAAUAAUAAUAAUAAUAACACUGAACACUGCGGGUAUUGAAGCGCCGCGGUCGCUAAUAACCGCGUAUGUAAAAUGGUACGUACGCGUCGAAACCAAUACAUGACGACAAAAUUGUACACUUUUUUUACGAUCCCGGAGGAAAAUAACAAUCGUGUGCGAACAACGUGAACAACAAACCGAAUUUCGACGGUUUUCCGGGCGAUUAUGUUUUUAUUAUUAUUAUUGUUAUUGUUAUUGCACGGGGAGACGGCAGCAGGUGUUGUCGUAAUUUACGUUGUUACGUGCGCGCGUCUCGUUGUGGUCCUAUAAUUAAACCGCGCGCUUCUUCCACCGGUUGUUACAUUGGACUCGAGGAAAAAAUAGUAAAAAUUACCUGCCUACCUGCCGCUAAACACGAUAUCCAUUUCUAACGAUUAACAUCCUGUUCCGCUGUCGGUUUAAAACGACAGCGAUGGAAUCGUCGUUAUUGUAUACCUAAUUUCGUCGGCCCGACGGACGAAAAUGCGUCGUGAUCGGCAUAAAAAAAAAAAAAAAAAAAACAAAAAAAAAAUCCUUCAAUCUAGGGGGGUGGGGGAGGAAAUCCGUUUUCCGUUUUUUUUUCUGUUUGUUCGACAGACGGCGGCGGCGGCGGCGUGUUCGGUUUCUCAUUUGCUUCCAUUGCUCCGGAUCUGCUUUGUCUUAGACCUGUCGCGGUUUUUCAUCGACUCGCGUCUAUCGAAUUUAUGUUUUACAUCGAUAAAUUAUCAACUCUGAACGCGGCGAGGAAUGCUAAUUUAAUGGUUUUAUUAUGAUGUUUUUUUUUUUUUUUCUGUAUCUAUAAACAACUUUUCUAUUUCGUUCUAAUUGAACUUUCUUGUAUCAUUUAGUUGGUUUAUUGGGGAGGUUGAUUUUUAAUUUACUUUUUUUUUUCCUUUUUUUUUCGUAGUUUUCAUUGGCAAACGGGGAAAAAAACCUGACAAUACCAUAUCGUACACAUGUUUUGUUGAUUUCUGGGUUACCGCGGCAACAAUAUAAGAAAUACGACAAAUGAUAUACUCUGUUCAUAAUCAUUUUCGUUGGCGUGUACGGAUGUAACGUAUUAAAUAUCUUCCACUCCGAGUUCGACUUACCGGGUCUUUUAUCCGCUCAUCGGAUACAACAAUUGUGCGUAACGCUAUAUACGCGUUCGUUGGUGCAUACGGUGCAUCCUUUUCGUCGGGUCCCGGAUUCCCGCGACUAGCACUAGACGACUGUUGUACCGCAAUAUUAAUAAUAAUUAUAAUAGUCCAGAAAAAUAAAACACAAUAUCCGUCCUGAUGUCUGCCGGUCAAUGAGAGUUUUAAAACUGUGUACCUAAAACGGACGUAUCGAAAUGGAAAUUCGGCCAAAUCACCGAUAAUAAUGUAUCCCCCGUCCCGCGGGGUCGGUAAAAACGUGCACGAAAACGUUUCGUACCGUUUGUUUUUCAGCUGCGCCGAACCCCCCCCCGGCCCCGGCUACCGGACGACCGAUCGAAACGCGCCAGGGACCCGCGACUCGGACGCGCCCGUUCGCCUGUGACGCGCUCGCCACGCGUUCUGUUACGCCGGACGAACAGCGCGACGUUUCACUCGUAACGCCAUGUGCCGCUGUUGCCGGAUUACACGCGCGUGUAAUAAGCUACACGGGUGUGUUACGGGAUUCGGUUUAAAUUAGGCACGGUGUUGUUGUUAUUAUUUUUAUUAUUAUUAUUAUACGGCGUCGGUAAUAUAACUGCGGCAGACAGCGAGAAUCCGAAAAGAAACGUCCGCGUAAUAUUAUUACUGUUACACGAUAUUAUAAUAGCGAUUGCUGCUGCUGCUGCUGCUGCUGCCGCCGCCGUCGCCGUCCCCGCCGUACGGCCACGGGGGUAAACAGCAGGUGUUUGGGUGUCGGGCGCGAAGAAAAUAAAAUACGUUGUUAACCAUUAUAUUAUGUUAUUACGCACACGCGGUGAUACGUUUGUUAUUUUUUUUUUUUUAUAUUUUUCACGAGCCGGAGAGUGUGUUUAUUAUAAUUGAGUUGUUCGGCGCGCGCGCGCGCAGCACCGGCGUAUAGUGCGUUUCCACGAGAUUUAUCAUCUCGUAUUUUACCGACGCGUAAUUUACGCUGGGGGAUAGUAAGAAAAAAAAAAAUGGAAAAAUUACAAACGCGCGCGAAGAAGAAUUUUCGGGCGAAGAAUUUUUUUCACGCGGCAUUUUUUUUUUUUCGUAUUUCCACGUUGCGCUCGUGACGGGUCGGCGGCGGCGGCGGCGGCGAACGCGGUCCGCGAACGAUUAUGAAAAACCACGCGACCGCGAAACGCCGUUGUUUCGGUGCCGGUUGUGCACGGGCGCGCGUCGCUGUACAGGGUGCGCGACAUUUAUAUCGUUAUUAUUGUCGUCGUUGUCGUAUUGUGUCGCUCGACUACCGCUGGCCGCCCCGCGGUAUUAUACCGUACGUCUCCCGGGCGCGCGGGCGUGUGUUAUGCGUGUCCCGCGAUUGUGACCGUGACAGACGGGGCGCACAGGGACACAAUGCGUGAAGAGGAUGUGCCCGCGGUACACGUUUAACGACCGUCGUGUACGGCCGUGUUCCUUUUCGCAUACAUAUCAUUGUACAAAAAUAAUUGUACACCGUGCGUCCCGUCGACGGGACGCUGAUCGUCGGGAGGGGUUCGCGGUCGUGCGGAGACGGCCGUACGUCUCCGCACGACUGUACGGCGGUCGUCACCGCGGGACGUCUCCCCGCGAGACGCGCACAAGCGUUUGCUGCCGUCUGAGUAAGUUGCUAACAGGGGCCGCACAAUGGUACACGCCGCGUCGCGUUUUCUGGCGGCCCCCGUCGUCGUCGUCGUAAAUCCGAUUACACGCAUUGUCCGAACCGAUGUACCGCGGUUUUAUUGACCGAAAUCGUUCGCCGCGGCGGUUUUUCACCUUUUAUAUUAUUACAUUAUUCCCUUUCGGUCUCUUUCUCUCCCGACCGCGAAUCAUUCCGCGACGAUAGAGUCGAAGAAGGAAACAAUAAACCGCACAAUACCUCGCGCCCCCUUUGCGCCUCCUCCGGUUCCUUUUUGCUGUACAAUAACGGAUCGGUUCGCGUCUUCGCACCGCGGCACCGCGUUUAUUGCUCGACGGUCCGUACGAAAUUCGCCAUGGCAGCAGUAGUGCAGUGGCGAUGAUCGAGACCAGUCGCCUGGCGUCCGUCGCCGCCGCCACUACAGUCUCCGCAGUUCGAGGCGAUCAUCACCAGAGUCCGUCGCCUGUGCCGUUUCCGAUGUUAUUGUUUAUAUCCGUUUUGAAAAAACUUUCCGGUCUACAACAAAAUUCAAUACGCGACACAUGGCCGCUCAAAUUUAUGGUAAGUCCAACCGUUUCCCAUCGUGUUGAACGUUAGGUUUUAUUUGGAAUUUCCCGGUAGAACAAUACGCUCGAACGAUAUUGAAUAGCCGUCUCAGCACGUUAUGCCUGGGGGGGGGAGGGGCCGUACAGGAGACUUAAAUUCUCAAUCAAUCGCGACGGCACUACUAACAGUUAUUGAAACCGAAUACCAAAUUUCAAAACAUCGUGUACUGCAGUGUUUUAAUAAAACGUUUUUGUGUAUUAAGUCGAUCAAUUGAAAUGUCAAUUUUUUUCCCUCCCUUAUCAACCUUUAUAGACCCAGGUCUACAAAAUCCGACAAUUUACCGUUCUAAUCGAUCGGCGACGGCCUUUUCUUGUUGUGUUCCAAGACUUUUGGGCUUUUGUAUCAUCAACUUGUACAAUUAUUGACCCCAUAUUUAUGAGAACUACGAGGUCGUCCUGCAGUUCUAUUCCCCACAAUCUUGACAAUUCCCGACGUCUUGCUCAAAUCGCAUCCGUGUGAGCAUCCACGCAUUUUUCUUUAAUAGUAUUCUUAAAAUCUCUUCAUUUGUUUUGUUCUCUGUCUGACUUAUCGUAUGCGCGAAUUAUAUUUCGUUGAGCAGUGCAUCUCAAAAGCUUCUAAUUUUUUUUUUAUUUUCCGAUAUAAUUUUGUACGGCCCAUAGUGUCACGUACACGUUGCCGCGUUCCGAACAUGUGUUUUAACGUGCGUAUCUUCCGAGCAUCGAGACGUAUCGCCUUUAAAGUAAAUAUUUUAUUUUAUUUGUUUCUAUGAUGGCUGAUUUUUCUAAUCCCGCGCGUUAUUCGAUUUCCCGGACGCUCUUACGGUAAUCUAAUGAGAUAUCGAUCCAAAUACCAGUCCGUCGACCAUGUCACAAGUCUUUUCGAUCAACUACAUUAUUUAUGUACAUUGUAUACGUCGGGUUUUGUCUGCGGGUCUCUGGCGCGAUCCCUGGUCUUGGCGCAAUUAUAUUGUUUUCAUUCCUGACGUGUUCUGUUUCUAUUUAUUAUUUGUUACGCGCCUUUGGCGAAAAUAAUACGUUUUAUAUCGUUCAUCAGCACGCUUUUGAUCCGAUACACGUUUUCGUUUUCUUUAUUUAUAUAUAUAUUUAUUGCCCACUUGAAAAGUACGGUUGCUUAUUACUUAUAUGUAUGUAUACUUCAGAAUUUAAUUCGGAGCAAAUUAUCGAGUAUUUUAUUACGGGUAUAGGCACUCGGCCCGAUUAUAUUGUACCGUAUAGGUGUAUAUAAUUAUAAUACGCAUAACCUUUAUGAGAACCUAUCCGUUCCCCCCCCCUCCUGAUCCAUUAAACUGCCCACAUUUGGAUUGUCGAUUGAAUUAUUGUGUACCGUAUAUUAUUAUAAUAUUUAAAUGCGAACGCGCGCGGGGAAAUUAAAAAAAAAAAAACAAAAACAAAAUACCUACAUAAAAUUUUAUUACACCGGCUAAUAGAGUGAUAAUAAUAAAGGUCUGACGAUAAAUCUGUCACGCGCGCGUAUAUGAUAAUUCUUACCCGGCUGAAUAUGUAUUUAUCGAAAUCUAAUUUAAACGCGCGUAUACGUUAUUUAUAUUUUAUUAUGUUUGUUAAUGUACGAGUAGCGCGCGCGCGUUUCCGUCGGCAAUAUAAUUUGAUAGAGAGAGAAGAAAAAAAAAUAUAUAUACGACAAAUAUACUUCGGAGAAAAAAAAAAAUUUCCCCGGCCCACUGUGCGCCCGACGCUUUACAAGCAAUAUAAAUUAUCGAACUUGUUUUUUUUUUUUUUUUUUUUACUUUUCCCCCGUCCGAAAACCGUCCGGGUUACCAUACUGUUAUUAUUAUUACACGGAACAGUCGCGGCUGUAUGUCGAAGAACGCGGGAGAGAAUCGGUUUUUCGAGGACCGCGAAACAAGGUCGCGUGACGGCCGCGCUAUACGACGACGUCCGUACGUAAUAAUGUUCACGGGAAAAUAUUGCGCUGCGCGGCUCGCGUUUCGUUUUUUUCUCCUCUACCUGUAUCAUUUUUUGGGUUUUUUUUUUUUCGUGUUUUCUUUUACCGCCGGAACGACCGGUCGAAUAAAUCACUGCAUUAUUUUCGUUCCCCGCGCUCUGGUGCCCGCUGAUUGCGCGCGCGCGGCUCCGGCGCGUAUUCGUACGGUUUUGUACAUACGCGCGCGCAGUACAAUAUUAUUAUGCCUCCAUUACGAGACGUGAUUUAUCGAACGGAAUAAUAGUGUAACAUAGGCACACACGCGCGCGCACACAUACACACACACACACACGAGCGAAGGUAUAUAUCUCACGAAAUUUCCCCCGCCUCGCGUAUAGACUUUUUUUUUUUUCUCUCUCUCUACUCCUCGACGGCAGAAUACAUAAUAAUAAUAAUAAUACGAUAGUUGUGUAGCGAGCGGCCGCGGCGCGCAAUCGCGUCUUAUUAUCUCUCGUUUAAUUUAUUAUUGUUUAGAAAAAAAAAAAAAAAAAGUAAAACCAACCUUCUUUAAUUGGCGGAUCUCUCGUCACGCCGCCGCCGUUGCUCUCUCGAGUCACGGGCACCAAUUACGUGUAAAUAUUCGACGGUUAAUUGGUUCGUGUGCGUGCGCGCGCGCUCGCGCGUACACUUUUUACGGGCCGCGUGCGACGAGAAUAUCGUAACACCGUCGCGAUAGACGGCGAAAACGCGCGACGUUCCGAUUCCGCGGGGACAUUUCGGGGCGCCUGCUAUUUCGACGUCGAUUCGUCGGCGGCCAACCAAUAAGCGCCGCGGUGGAAAUUCUUUUCGCCGAUCGUUUUUGUGCGUGGUACAAUGAUACGCGAUUCGCAUUCGUGCAUUUCCAUCUCUGCCGCUGUUGUUUACCCCUCGUUUUCCAUUCGAUUAUAAUAAUACGCGGUACUAAUAUUGCAACAUUAUUGAAUACAAACCGAUACGUUUUAUUAUUGUCGUUAUUAUUUACAAUAAAUAACAAUUUUUAAUUUUCGACGGCCGCGUCAAAACAACAGCGCCGAAAAGUCAUAUUAACACGUCUAAAACAAAUAAUGGACAACGGCGUCGGCAUUGGCCCGUCUCGUACCGGAGCGUCGUUCUACAUUUUCUUGUCACGGGCCGCAUGACGGCAGUCACGUAUCGUGUACGAUGUAACUCUUACCGUGUAAACGCCUAAUCGAUUUAAUAAUUUUCGCGCACGUUGUUAUUUCGAACACUUUUGUAUUCGUUUCGUUGCGAUCUGUACCGCCGCGUUUUACCGAGCCCCGCGCACUAUGUGCACGGUUCUAACCGGUAUCGCGCGGACGACGAUAGACGGACGAAAGAAAAUAAAUCGCCCAACCCCUCCGGGGAGUAGACGGGGAGGAGCGGUGGUCGUGGCGGUGGCGGGGCGAACGAAGAUGCGCGCGAUAGUCGUACGACUAUCGUACAGUGUUGUUAUUGCGAUACGUAUCGCGUGCGCGAUAUAAUAAUAUCGACGGCUGGCGGGCGGGAUGGAUGGAUGGAGGGGGGGGGGCGAUGAGAACCGCCGGACUCGACGGCGGCGGCAAAGUUAAUGAUGACAUUACCGCGCGCCGAGUCGUGACCGUACGAUACAGAGGAAUAAUAUUACCGCAUCUCUCGUAUGCGUACAAUAAUAAUAAUAAUAAUAUUAUUAUUAUACGUACGGUACGGCGUAUAUUAUAGAGGCGGUUCGGGGCCGAACCGAUACUCUUGUCCGUCCGUCCGUCCGUCCGUACGCACGUACAUCGCUCCGGUGCAGCUGCAACGAUUCGUGGCGGAAUGGCCCCGCCGCCGGUCUACUGAGAUUGCCGUAAUAUACCUACGUGUUCCUUUCAACGUUGUAACACCAAUUUUCUCGUUUAAUAUAACCGCGCGCGCGCGCGCGCGCCCUGCACACGAUCUCUUCAUCUCCUAUCGCGUCCGCGUGCGCGCAGGUAUACGCGUUACGGUGUACACAGCGUCUAUGUUACGCGCGUGCGUGCGCGCGCGUGUGUCGGCGUACACGCCGCGAACGGCGGGAGGGGGCGGAUAGGAGACUGCGCGGGGAGGAGUCGCGUCGCGUAUUAUUAUUAUACGUGUGUACAUUUUUUUUUUUUUUUAAUAUUUUUAUUAUUUUUUUUUUUACGCGUGUAAGGUGUAGUGUAUACGAUCCCGUACGCGUACAUAUACGUGUAUUAUAUUAUAUACACGAACAAAAGGUCGCCUCCGGCCGUAUACGGUACACGGUGUACGGAGCCGCCGCCGCCGCCACUACCGUCAUCAGCUAGCGGCGGCGGCGGCGGCGGACGGACGGUCGGGCGACGCGCGGGACGAUGAAGACAUUAAAAAACCAUCAGACCGCGAAGCCGAGCACCGAAAAUCCGUUUUUAUCGGGUUGAUUACACAAACACAAUAUAAAAAUCGUAUCGAGGAACUGCGGCCGCGGCGGCGGCGUAAUUACUUGUUUGGUGUGUUUAUACCCCCGUCGUACGUAUACACCGCGCGCACGAUAUUAUUAUUUAUAUAUAAUAGUGAUAAUAAAAAUAUAAAUAUAUACGGCGAGUUACACCGCGUGAAUACCGCCGAUUCCGUAUGUUGCGCUGUGAUGUUAUUAUUAUUAUGUACCCGCCGAGAAAAGUGUUUACGGAAGCGUAACUCCGAACGCGUUAUUAUGUGCGUCUGCGGUGCCCGAUAUUUUUUUUCGUCGGUCGGGGGAAGGGGGUCUUUUAAGCCUACCAAAUCCGACCCGACGCAGGUAAACCGGCAGCUACCGGCAACAUUGUUUACGGCACUGUACACACAGAGAAGAAUAUCUGGUCGCAGCGCACUCGAAACGGACAUUUUUCUCGAGUGUACCCGCCCCGCGUGUGACGCGUAUACCACGUGUAUAUGGGUCGCGCGCAUAGGUUAGACAUGAGCCACGGCGGCCAGCUGCCGACGUGCGGUUUCGGGGUGCUCUCGUUUUUUUUUUUUGUUUUUUUUUUCCGAUUCUCGAUCCCCGUUCCUUUUUUUUGCCCGUCCCGCGUUUACCCUCAAUUAUUGGGUUUAGGCGCGCGCGGCCGUCCUUCAGCACUCGCACGUUCGAAUGAUCAUUACGAUACGCGCCGGGGCUGGAAAACGCGCCGAUGUUUUCGUUUCUCUAUUCGCGCGCGCCGUUCGCCGUUCAAUUAUCGCGUGAUUAUUGUUGUUGUUGUUGUUGUUGUUUUCGGUACCUGUUGUGCUACCGCCGCCGACGUCUUCCCUCCGCCGAUUUUAGGCUUACGGCAUGGCGCAUCAUUACGAUUCUUAUCAUUCCGCGGACUCUUUCGCGUACCCUCCGAGGCCGGCGGCGGAACAAUCAUUCCGAAGAAAAAAUCGGUCGAAAUCGAUUGCAUUAUUAUCGGACGCGCUCUCGCGGCAACAGAAACGCGGUUGACGCGUCGCCGUCGCUGUUUUCCGGCAAUAAUACUUCCGGUGUUUCCGUUGACAGUUAUUCGAUCGGCACGCAGCACUCGCGACCGCAAAAUGACCGUAGUAACCGUAAACGCCGCGACUACCAGAUUCUAAGUAGCAGCCACUUUUGUUCUCCCCCCCCCCGCGAAAAUCCUGUUUUAUCGCGAACGCGCGUGAUAUUUACACCUAUAAUCGUUGUUAUUGUUCGCUGGGCGCAAUCGUCCGCGACGAACUAUCGUGUCGCACUCGUUUACAGAUUCGCCGAAUUCCGCAGACCUUUUGUUUUUGUUUUACCGCCCCCCCCCCCCCCCGCGACAAACGACAAAAAUCGCCGCGUUUUUCGCUUUCGAGAAGUAUAAUUAUUACGGCGCGUACAUUUCGUCGAUGUUCAAAAAUGACGAAAUACUUUCUGUUUUUUUUCCCUUUUUUUCUUCCACCGUACCAGCACUCUUUGUUUGUUUUUUUUUUCUACGGCCAAUCAAUUUCGCCUCCGGUCGACGCCGAACGCCAAAAGCCCUGUGCAGCGCGAAUCCCCCUAUCCCUUGUUCUUUUCGAAGAAAACCCUCUAGUCGCGAACGAUUCGCGCGCGCCGCGGCGUGUAUAUCCCGGUCGAAAAACGCGCGGCGGCGGGAACACGUGCGAAUGGCCGCGAUUUGUGUAAUAUAGCCCCGAGGCACCUCUUUCGUAUACAAUAUAAUUAUACCGAACCGUUUGUUCGUGUUUACCGCGGUUACCGCCAUUUUGUUUUCGGUGUUUUUUUUUUUUUAUUUCCCCGUAAUUUAUGCCGCGACCCACAGCGGUAAUCUUGUUUAAUAAUAAUAAUAAUAAGGUAUUCCAGUCGAACACAAUGUGUGCGUGUGAGAGAGCGUGUUGCCGUUGCCGUAAUCGAAACCCGCGGCUCGUUAAAUUGUAAGGUUCUGCGGAUGCCGUGCUAAUGACGGGCGCGUUUUCAAAGCAAUAACACUAUUUAUGUAUUCACAAACGGGAGCGCUGUUUGAUCAGCGGGCACAUAUUAAUUAACAAAGCUAUUACUUUAUAACAUUUUAAAAAUACGCGCUCGAUCGACUAUCGAAAUCAUCGUUUUUGAACGGAACCCGGAAUGACGCGCGGACGCUCGCGGGCGGUACCGCGAAUUGAGUGUCCCGCGAAGACGUAAUACUCGUUGCCUAUAUCUCCCGAGAUAGUAAACGCAAUCGAAUACUGAGUUUCUACUAUACUCGUCGAGAUAAACACCGAGGAUAUUUACGUUUGAACUGAAUUUCUAUUGUCUGAUAAAGUAAAAAAAAAAACAAAACAAAAACGUAAAAAAUAACUUUAUUUUAUUAUUUUUGAACAAUAUGAAAACAGCCGUUUUAUAGAGUUUAUUCUUCUACUAAACAUUUUGACGUUUCAGCCUGUUAUUUCCAUUAAACUCAUCGUGAUUUUUAAUAAACUGUUUAACAAGUUAAGUGAAGCGUACAGUCGAUUUUAGCCUUAAUAAUAAUAAUGUUACAUUAACUAUUAUUCCGAUUACCUAAAAUUGUGCAACAGGCCGUAAUCGCAUUUGCUAAUGGACUAUUAUUAUUAUUUUGGGUAAUGGUUAUUAUUAACGGGUCUGUACACUUUUUUUUCUCUGGACUUAAAAAAUCACGACUUCAAUAAAAAUAAAAAGUUAAAAUGUCAACGUUUUACGACAACAUAAAUAAUUUAAUUCGAAUAUAAAUAUUUGUAGUCCUUAUCCCCGCGAGUAAUAUAAAAACAGAAUUUUAUUACCCUUAUUAUCUCUGGAGAUAUAGCAACGGAUAUGCCUUUGUAGGACACUCUGUGUACUAUAAAUAUAUGAUGUGUUUUGAAUUUCUCAGAAAACCUUUUUUUUAUUCUUUCUGUUCGUAAAAAUGUUCUGAUUUUUUACCGUUUUUCGAAAAAAAAUGUAAGAAUCGGACAAAACGUGACGAUAUACAACAGUGACGCACACCGCACGGCGGGAAGUACAUGCGGCUGUUUAAAUUUUGAAUCGAAAUGUGCGAUAAUGUGCUCACCUACCGGAAUGUUGAAAAAUUUUUCUACUGAUCGAAUUCACCGUAUCAGUAAUCUAUCUAAAAUUGGCUGUCCUACUUACCCUUUCUUGAUUCAAAUGAAGAUAUGAGUUUUAUCUUUAUACAACUUUUAUAGAUUUUCGAUGUUAUUUAAAAAAAAUCAUUAUUAUGAUACGACCUAGAAAUAUUAUCAGUACGAGCCUGAAAAACUUAUCGAUUUUAUUUUCUACGAAUAAUUUAUGUUAUCAUGAAAAAAUAUGUUUUAGAUAUUGUAUCGAAUAAUUUAUACUGUUUUGUGGUAAACCGUAUAGCGAUUCGCACACGUAUAAUAUGUAGCUAUGUGUAUAUAUAUAUGUAUACAGGUAUCUCAAUUAGUUAAAAGAUAAUAUAACACGUGUUCGAGUAAUACACACAACAAAACAAAUAUAAUAAUAAUAAAAAAAAAAACCUAUGUUAAAUGUAUACAGGUACAAUUUACAUUUGUUUAAUUAACGGGCCGGUUAGUUCAUUGGCCAAGUAAUAUUUUUUUGAAAGUUGAAACAGUUUUUGGAUUAUCUAUUUUUAAAUAUAGUACACGCGGCAUCCUUCUUAUAUAAUUAAUAACAAACAACAUAUUCUUUAACCCUUCUGUCCUCGUAGUUUAAUUGGUCUUAUGAUUUAUGAAUUAUGAUUAUUCAAAUUUUUUUAGUAUAUUAAAGAAAAGAUGGGACAGUACGAAAUCUGAAAAUAGAUUUUAAACAAAUGUAUACCCGCCCCUGAUGUACUCCAUCAUGUAGUUUGAACUUAAAAUCUUUAUUUUAUUUUUUUUUUUUUUUAAUGCUAACGUGGUUUGAAAUUAUGUUAUGAACAAUUUUUAGUAAUCUCGUAUUGUUAGUCAUUAUUAUAACCUAAUUGUAUGAUAGUAGCAUAAGAGGUAUGAAGGCAGUAUAUAUAUUAAAGAGGUAAAGUGUAUUGAUUAACUGGCGACAUAUUUAUUUAUGCCUCGAAUUAUGUGAUAAAUGUGACGAUAAAUAAACAAUUUGAAAUUAAUUUAAUAACAAAAACACUGAUGAAACGUGCAGUCGGCUUGUAAGUCAAAACUGUAGCUCUUCACUCGUAAAAAAUUAGUGGUCUCACUUGGUGACGUCCUAUCGAGGUAUUUACAUUAUUCAAAUAUUUCAUGGGCGUUGAUCAAUAGAAUCGGACCUACUCUUGGUUAUAGCGGCCGCCAAGCUUCAGACAUAUUCAUAUUAUAAUAUAACUCUAUAUUAUAUAGUCAACUACAGUUGUUUUACGCGAUAUUGUAUCAGUGGUCACAUCAAAGUCGGUGCGGAACACAAUAAUAAUAUUACCUGUAUAUUAUAAAUCAUUACCUAUGCACAUAAAUAAAUGAUAAAUAACUCAUCGAAUAGAUUUUUAAUAACAACAAACGUUUUUAAUACGAAAAUCUAUCAAAUAUACUGAUAGGUUUUUAACAAUUUUUUUUUUUUUUAAACGAUAUUUUCACGAAAAUCGGUUUGUUUAUUGUAGCCCGCAGCCUGUACAUAUGCGUGCAACAUGAAUACUAUAAUAUUUAUAAUAAUAUAUUCACGCGCGGCGUUUGCCGGCCGAGGUGGAGAAGGCGAGUUUCUUAUUACUACUAUACCACUAUUACUACUACUACUACUACUACUCGCGCAUACUUGUAUAGUAAAUAAUAACGACAAUUUAAACGGCACUUAUUAUUAUUUAAGAAAUGCGCGUCGCUCGUUUUCUAAAUAGACAUUUCGACGAUUUAUAUACGUGGCCUCCGGGGUCUCGCGGAGAGUACAUUAUAUAAUAUCCGCGGGACUUCUUAGCAUAAUAAGUGUGCGUAGGCUAAAAAAAAAAAAAGACCGAGGGGUGGAGGAAAAAAAACCGCAAUGUGUUAAACACAAACAAUGGGACGUUGCGCGCGCUUAAUUUUUUUUAUUUAUUUAUAUUAUUUUUUUUUAAAUCAUGAUAAAUUGACCUUUUGUUUUGGUAUUUCGUGUUUGCGUGCGUGUGUAGGAAGAAGACGAUUAUCAGUGGUGGACCGAGGAGGACCUGUGGAAGUUUCCCCCGCCGCCUCCCCGUCCACCGUUCCUGGAGCCCCCCAUACCGGACGGCCUGACCACUUGCGACCUGUGCACAUGGGCCCUGCAACCUCAUCUGGAAGACGGUGAGUGUUUUUUUUAUUUUAUUUAUUUAUGAAUUUUUUUUAUUUUUUUUAAACGGCCAGCUAUUGUGUCGCCUCAUUGUUGUUAUUAUUAUUAUUAUUAUUAUUAUUUUAACGUUCUCUUUUGUGUUUUGUUUUAACCGAGUGUGCCCGGGCGGCCCGGCCCGUUCCCGUCGGUUUUUUCGCCUCGCCUCCCGCGCGCGACCGCCCGCCGCUCUCUGUAAAAUUCUUCUCGUUGCCUACCGCGCGUACACCUCUGCGUAAUAAUAACGUAAAGUGGACGACGUCGUCGCCGCCGCCGCCGCCGUCUCCUCGAGCUCCUUCGCUCGCGGUAAUGAUUUUUUCGUUUUUCACGCGUCUGAUCGCGAUCGAAAUACACGUUAAUAACAACAAUGAUAAAGAUUCCGUCCCGCGCGUCCCACCGCACGGUUACGGCGUUACAACACGCCCGCCGUAUGGCCGUUGACGCCGCGUGCGUGCAUGUACGCGUAAUAUACACGCGUACACGCUCACACACACGCACACACGCGCGCACACACAGACACACACGCGCGGGCAUUAUGUGCACAGUACUGUAACAAUGUCGUAGCGACGUCCGCGUCUCGUUCCCGCGGACGCGCCGGCACCUCCUCUUUAUUUUUAAUAUUAUUUUAUCGCCGUAACGAGACGCGGACCGCCGCGACGUCCUGGUCACGACGAACCGCCGUGGUGUUUCGCGCCGCGUUAUUGUAAUAUUCAUUUUUUCUCGCGGGCGCGCCCGCGGUCUCCCGCGUACGCCGCUAUCGGUACGCGCGCGCCCGAAACCGUCUCCGGCCGGGCCGCAGCUCUCUUCGGUCUGUACACGACACUACUAUUAUUAUUAUUAUAUAAUAUCAACCGGGUUAAAGUGCGUCCCGCGUAUAUUUACGUGCGCACACUGAAAUGUACGCGCGUUUAAGAGGGAGGGGGGGAGCGGGAAAUACGCCCAACAGGAAAUUGCUCGUUGGCCGCAGUCCAAUGCCGAUAAAUUAAACGACGGCAAUCGGCUCGUCUCGCCAAAGUUUUCAUUAUGUUUGUUGUUGCACUCCGCGCCGCCGCCGCCGCCAGUAUCAUGUCGUCGCGACGCGCCGUCGCGUAAUCUCAAGUGAACGCCACUGUCGCGUCGCCGCUGUCGGCCGAGGUACGCCGCGGGACGUUUUUUUUUUUUUUUUUAUUUUUUUUUAUUUUUAGACGAGUCUAUUAUACAGCAAUAACAUUUCCGCGCCGAAUCACACGGGACGCGCGGUGCGGCCGUUUAAACGGCCAAUUUAUCGGCCGCGCGAUUGCGAUUGAUAAUAUUAUCGUUUGCGGAAUAUCGAACGUAACGUACCUCGCGGCAUUUGACGCCCGGCACGACGUGCAGGAGGAAGUGGUGGCGGGUCACCACACCCAUCUCUCGGGGAUGAGAGGGGGGGGAGUGCGUAGGUUUAAGAUUUAUUACAGGAACUCAAUUUUUUUUUUAACCGCCGAUUCCGUCGUAUUUCAAAUAAUUGAUUGACAGACCCCCCCUCUCCCCCCGUAAAUAAUCUGAUAUCUGCGCGGCCGUUUUGGCUAAACAAUCCAAAAACUAUUGGCGAUUUAAUCUUGAAACGAGUAUUAUAUUUUACAGCCAACAAGGAUUAUAUUGAAUGAAAACUAUUGGCUUUUUAUUGCCAUUGUCAGGUCAGGUAUAAAAUAAAAAAAAUCCUAGUGUUCCACGAUUUAUAUUAACCACGAUUAUUAUUUGCUAUACGUUCCGUCUCAAUUCCCGGGCACGCCAUCGAUAUCUUUUUUUCUACUUCGUGGUACUUACUUUUAUAAUUAAUUUGUUUUUUAUAUACACACACUGUAAAAAUUAUUGUAAAUCUCUGUAGAAUACAUUAUUAUUAAUAUAAUCGUUGGCGGGUUAGUUCCGUGGGUAAGUAUCCCGGAGCCUAAUACCAAUGGAAAUUCCGACGAGUUUACGAUAGAAUCGACGCGUUUUCUUUGCGCGAAUCGUCUAUUUAAAUCAACUGCAGUUUGAUUCACGUUCGAUAGAAAAAAAAAAAAAAAAAAUCGUUACGUAAACAACGUAACCGGGCAUAGUCGCCCUAUAUAAUAUAUAUCUGAUAUUUCGUGCUGCACACUUUUCACAUAAAAAAAAAAAAAAAAAAAACCUCACGGAUAUUCUUAAAUGAUGCAACUAUGCCUGUUUAACUCACCUGUUUCUCUAAUCCUAAUAAAUAUUGUAUACAUUUUUAUUGGAGUGUAAAAUGCUUUGAACUCGAUGCGUUUUUCCCAAAAUAAUAAUAAUAAUACGUGUAUAAAGAUGUUACCUAAAUAUGUUUUUAUGAAAUAGCUCGUACCUGUAUACCUGUAUUAUUAUUAUUACUGACGGUUUAUAACAUUGUUAUUACCUAUAUUACCUAUUUAUUUUUUCUUCGUUACCAAUAAUUAUGUCGUUGGUGCGUAAUUAUUAUGGGCACCGGGCCAACACUUUUUCUUUUCGUGCCGCGCGUUAAAAAAAAAAAAAAAAAAACAUAACAAAACCAAGUGCACGUUGCGUGCGCAAACCAUCGCGCUCGGCAGUGGUCUCGACUGACCGUCUCAUUUUUUUGUUCGUGCGACGUGUACACGGGUCUCGGGCGAUUUUGCGUUCCGUCGACACGUGCGACCGUUUAAAACGGCAACAAAUCACGCGGUUUUAACGACUUUCCAGCCGACGUCCGAUAUGUUGUGCAGGUAUAUAUUAUACAUAUAUAUAUAUAUAUAUAUAUAUAUAUAUAUAUAUAGAGAGAGAGAGAGAUAUUCUGAAGACACGACGACGUUGAUUGCAACCGACACGGCUAAAUGACGGGACAGCGGGCGGUAUUUCGCCGACGAUUUAGUGUUGGUUUAUACAAUACGAUUCUAAUGUUAUUGCGCUCUGGAGUGGCGUGUCCACGCACAAGAGGAGACUAUUCGGCCCUAGGAUUGACAAAGACAAAUGUCCUCGAUUAAACGCACAGAGAGUAAAAUGAAAAUGACGAAAUCGCCGAAAUUCCGAAAAAGAUUGUAGCGUAUCAUAACAAUGCGAAGUGACCAAUGGCUAAAUAUGAUAAAAUGUAAAAUUCCUGAGUUUUAAGGGCGAUUAACGUCAGAGGUUUUCAGCGGUGACCACAAUCAAAAUUACACAAGAAAUAUCGACGAUAAUUAUUUAACUACAAUAACAAGUUCGUUUUUAUAAGAAAAAUAAAUAUAUUUAUAAAUAAUUCAACUCUUAUAGUGACAACAUUGUGCGUAGGUUUUCAGCAAAAGUCGCCCUAAACUAUAAGAAUGCACCUAUUUUCUUUGUGUUUAAAAAAAAAAUACUAAAAUAAUUUUUUACCGUUUGGAAACGGCCAUAAAUGUUGUUUUUUAGAUUAUGCGGAUUCGUAGAACUCGAAACGUUAAAAGCUCUACUGCGCGAAUUCCCCUUUGGACAUGAAAUAUAACCGGGGGAAAAAAAUAAAUAGUUUCUAACGCCACUGACUCUAUUAUUACAACAUCUCGACCUCACACGUCGAAUACGAUUUUUCCGCUCUUGUUUUCGUUCACAGUGAUGUUUUUCUCGUUUUUUUUUUUUUUUCAGCGACAAACCUUUAAGUAUAGGUACCUCCUAUAUGUAUCUAGUUUUCGGACGACGGCGGCGGUCGUGUUCGGACUUUUAUUUUAUUAUACGAGUAUGUUGUUACGGCCCACGCGCGAAAUAUCCGUAACGAAAUAAUUAAAUUAAAUUCCGUGUUGAAAAAACAAAAAAAAAAAAAAACAUAAAAAACUACGCAAACACGGGCGUAACCCACUCGCGCAUACACAAAUUAUUUCCGAAAUGAAAACAUAAUAUUCCCGAGAUGUGUUAUGACGAUUGUGCGCGCGCGCGUAAUAUCUGUAUACCAGUAGAAGUCGCGAGCAAUUUGUAUUCGACUACCUACGUUGUAAACUCGUUUUUAUAAUAUUAUAUCUCCGCUCAACAUGCGCGUUAUAAACGCAAACAGAUUAUAUUAUAAUGUAUACAUUACCUAUACGAUUCGAUAUAUUAUUGUUAUUUAGAGUACGGGCCCGCUGCACACGCGUAUAAUGUGCGGCACGCGUUUCGAAAAAAAAAAAAAAUCUCCCGACAGAUUUAAAUCGCAAAACAUUUCGCUAUUGGCACCUACAUAAUGAUCACACGCCCGGUGUGUAUAAUUAUUGAAAUUGGUUUUGCUGGUGCGGAAACGAGGAACUCGUUCUCGGUCUUUGUUCGCCGUUAAUGUCGAUCAUUGACAAUAAUGGUAUAGAGACGUCGUCUCCCGUUUAAGUAUUCCUAUACGGCCUGCGGGUCUAACGAAUAACGACGAUAGAUUUUUGUUAAGCGGUUUCUGUCACAAACGAUAGUUAACUAUCGCAACAGACGUGUUCGAAUUAAUAAAAACCGUAUUUUAGGAAUUGAAAAUUUGUUCAACUCCGAUUCAAAUGCCGUGUCUCCAAAGGGCACGCGACACUGCCGAUUGCCAAGCGUGUAAUGUUGAUCACGCAACCGAAUGCAAUUGAUAGGUAACGCAUACAGCAAUACAAGUAGGUAUUACGAGACUAGUUGUCCCGCGCCCGGCAUUGCCCGGGUGGAUUUUUCAUUCUUUUUACAUUUAUUUCCGUUUUGCUUUGUCCGUGUCGGUAUAUUGAACUAAAGCAAACGGGCGGACAUUGGGUAGUCCGCGGACUAAAAAAAUUGUUCUAGUGUGUCAUACAUUUUUUUUUUUCAUUCGUAUUACCAUAAAUACCCGCACAACACAGGGAUUAAACUAUACAUCCGCUAUAAAAGUUGUUACGGCGUUUUUUAUUUCUGUUUAUCGUUUGUUCGUUUUCAUUUCAUCCGUGUUUCAACAUGUUUGCAAUCCGUUUUAUUCAACAAAAAUAAUUUUAUUUUCGUACCAAAAAUACCUAAAAACCUUUCAUGUCCUAUUUUACCUCAUUCAAGUUUUAUUUUUGUGACAAAAAAAGUAGCCUAUGUUUUUCUCUAAGUCCACGUCUAUUUCUACACUAAAAUUCAUCAAAAUCCGUUCAGUAGUUUUUGCGCGAAAUAGUAUCGAACAUCCAUCCAUACGUCCUCACAAAUUUUUACAUUUAUAAUAUUAUAGUAGGACAUACGAGUUUGUGUGUGUUUAAUAUUGCGUACCCAAGAAAAUUAGUCUUUUUCGUCGGUUUUAUUUUUAUUUUUCGAAAUAAUCCGCAUCACUUGCUAAAAUACCGUAACGGCCCGAGUCGCAAAGUCAUACUCUGUGCAUGUGUGUGUGUGUGUUCAGUCUGAAACACGUGACCCGGACGUUUGGGAAUCGGCUGCUGCAGCGGCGUUAUUAGAGAGUGAGAGUCAGAGAGAGAGAGACGAUGUAGUCGUUGUCGUUGCGGGCGAAGCUUCGCAGAAAAUCGUUGAUUUUGGCAUGAAAACCAGACCACUCGGAGACCCGCUCCCGCGAUCUACCACAGGGUGCACCCGUAUAUAUAUAUGUGUAUGUGUAUACGGUGUGUAUAAUGCAUACAAUAAUGAUAAUAACACGCUGACGCGGAACAGAGAGAGGAAAACAUUAAUCACGUCACAUUUAACACGUUCCCGGGCCCCGGUCCGUAUACGCGGGCGCGCGCGCGCGCCCGCGUAUAAUAACGCGUACACCUCACUCGGUGGAUGUCGGUGUAAUUUUUUUUUAUUUUCGUUUGCCGAAAACCAGAACGGCGUGUCUCGUGUGAUACGCCGACACGGCCCAAAGGAGCUUAUGAUUUGUGUACGGAGUUGUGUAUAGACGUUUAACACCCGACGACAAAAUGAGUCGUUAUAAUAAUCGGAGAGCCGCAGCCGCCGCCGGAAAGAGGUGUAACUGUACAAUAUUAUUAUUAUACAAGACGUAUGUUAUAACACGGGUACAUGAUGAUAAUAAUAAUAUAUGUGCACACGUCUCGAGGAUUAUUAUUAUUUCUCCCCCGUCCCACCGUUCGAAAACCGGACUCGCUCCUGGAUUGGAUCGGAUACAAUGACGGCGGCGGCGGUUCGGAAAUCAUCGUAAUGAAUGGGUUCCUUAUCACGCGUACCCGGUACCGUCGUCAUGGGCGAAAAUUUCACGUUUCCCCCACGGACGUUCGCGCGCUACAACUAUGGCGGCGUCGAAUUUUUGUACGUCUACGUACGCGUCGGGUUCGUUACACGCGGGCUACACAAUGUCGGGGGGGGGGCGGCGGCGGCGGNNNNNNNNNNNNNNUGUCCGGGCGCGGAGCGAGGAAGGGAGGAGGGGGACCGACGAACGGUUUUUUUAAUUUAGCCAUCAGUUGAUACAAUAUCUUUGACAGGUAUAAUUAUGGCCAGCCGACAGAGACGGGUUCGUGUGUAUAUGUGUGUGUGUGUGUGUGUGUGUGUGUGUGUGUGGAUCCAUGACAUUUAAUUAAAAUAUAUCAGCGUUAGUAUAUUAUGUGUUAUACGUGUAUAGAGAGAAAUAGGUACACACGCGCGCUCGCGCACUCUAUUUUAUAGCCUCGGGUGGCGGCGACGUCAGUGGCGGCCGCGUCAUAUGGGCGCGGGAUGUGUUUUGUUCGGACCGAAUCUCGCUCGGGAACAAAGAGUCGAAAAAUGGAUGUCAUAUAUUUAUUUUUUUUAUUAUUUAUUUAUUAUUAUUAUUAUUAUUAUUUUACUGUACAACGUUAUUAUUAUUGUACAUUGAUCGCGAGGUGAAAAAAGACCCAUCGACGUAUUAUUACGGGCGGGCAAUAAUGUACCUUACGUCGGUAUACUCGCUACGACUCGUCGUCUAUAACAAUGUUACGUCUAUAACACUAGCGCGAUAAAAUAACACCAAUAGAUAGCGCGAUUUUCCCGCGAUUUUUGAAUCUGAUAUUUCGUCGCUCAUUACACGCGUAUACGAGGCGUACUGUAUAUUAUUUCGGCCACGGUUUAUCCGCAGAAGAAACGACCGUAUUGAACAAAAAAAAAAAAAUAAUAAUAAUAAUAAUAAUACGGGUUCUUUUCCAAAAGAGUAACACGGAAAUACGAACACACCGCCAACCAAUACACAUCACUUAUUGUAAUAAUAAAUUGAAUUAAUUAUACGGGAAAGAUUUCGAUAGGUGAAAAAAUACCGAUCGUAGUCGGCGGCGAAUUUUCUUUUAUCUACAUAGGUAGUGAAUGGUUUCUAGUCGAUCCCGUUUUCGUUCUCGUGGAUGACAAAAAACGGACGGUAAUUCGAAACUCACCUGAAGUAAAGCAGCUGAAUUUUUAUUUAUUUAUUUUCAUUUUUUUUUUUUCGUGUGUGUUUACUGCCAAUAUUUACAUAUUUACCGUCCGAAACCUUUUCAACUGUACAAACACUAAAAGACGUCCCUGCUCUCCGAAAGUCUCAUGUGUAUUGGUUUACCAGUUCAUUGGUGCCGUAGCCGUAGAGUGAGAGUAAAAAUCGAGUAAAACGAGUGGAAACAAGUGUCUCCCUGCAGCAUAUUCGAAUACAUACGUAUAUAUAUAUAUCUAUAGUGUACUGAUGUAAAAAAAACCGAACGGCCGGGGAGAGCUCGUUAGAUCACACAACGACGACGACGUCGAUGAAAAACCGGCUUCGGAAAUUAUAAUUUACGGUCUCCGAGUCCCCUGGCCGAAAAAAACUAUAAAAUAAAAAAAAAAAACUGACUCGAACAAUGUCAGAAAAACAAAUACACGCGCACGGCACGCGGGGAAAAAAAAAAAUCACCGAACGAACGCAUAAAUCGUCAACGAAUUCGAAAUAUGUAUUCCGUGCCUUGUGGCCACAUAAUAUAAUAGCGGUGUAUCUUUGGAAUCGUGUACUAUUAUUGUAUGCGCACUGAUUACCGACUGCAGAUAAUGGCCGGUGAGAAAAUAAAACACGUAAGUAAAUACGAAUAAUAGUCUGUAGAUUUUGAGGGGGGUUUUUUUUUUUCCCUUCCAUUUCCGUCAUUAUAUUUUUUUCGUUUAUAGUGGGUGCCCCCGACAGACCGAAUCGAGUUUUUUUUCGGUUCGACAAAUCUUAAUUGCGUUCGGUGCGACCGCUGCUAUCGGUGUACUUACCAUUCGAUUUUUGGGGAGAAAACCGUGUGUUUAUACCGGGAGUCGGCAACGCACAGUGGUUUUAGAUUCUGAUCGAAGCGAGGAACGUACGAUGCGGUUUUUAUUCGUGUCUGUAAACAAAUUUUCUAUCAGAAAUCUUACUCCAAUCAAAAGCUUACUAAGAACUUUCGUGUAGUGUUUUAUUUCUUGUCGACGCUCGUCAAACCGGUUAUUUUUUCGAUUUUUCUUGUGAUUUUCAUUAACAGUUGGAAAAACCGGCAAUUUCGGCAUGAUUUUUGAUCGAUUCCCGGCAUUACUUAAACCCGGAAAACCUGUAAUGAACAAAACAUAAGUGACAAUACUAAACCGGACGGAACUAUCAAUUAGCUCUCGGUAUUGAUUAUUUACGCUAUCCGAUAAAGUUUAAGUUAUUGCACGUCGUAAUGUGCAUACAAGUAGAAAUGUGUUCCAACGGUCAUAAUAACGUCGUUAAUCAUUUUUUUUUUUUAUAAAAUUAAUUUCAAAACUGCAUCAAUAAAACUGCAAGUACAUAUUAUUGCGUUGCGUCGCGUAGACGCGUGUUUGCGAUUAUCGAUUAUUCCAAUCAAAUAUGUAAAUUCGUAAAUUACAGUCUCCAAAUAAUCGUAAACAUUAAACAUAGUUUACAACUAUGCGUGUAUAAAUAUUUGCAUAACUGUAUAAUAUUUGCACUCUGCCGCGGCGAGCUUAUCGGUUAAUAUUAUUUAUAUAUAUACGCGUGUAUACGUAUACGCGUGCAUGCGUGUGCAUAGUUUGUGUUUAGUUUGAGUAUUUACUGCGAUUUUAGCAUAUUAUUAUUAUUAUUGUACGGGGUGUCCCAUUAGGACGACUGGCGCGGAUCCAGAGAGUCAUUAUUGUACAUAUGCGUAUACGCGGCGGACUGCCGAUGGGGGGAGAGGGUCGAAACCGUACGCGCGAGUGUAAACCGACUGAAUGAUAAUAAAUCGCGCGGUCUGUGAUUUCUAACCACGAGAACAUAACGUCGUGCGGGCGCGAGUGGUUUUUUUUUCCUCGAAAUUACUUAUUUUCAUUCUGUCGCGUUACCGCGUUAUAGCAGUUCGGAGCCAAAAGUCAAAAAUAAAUCGGUGACGAAAAUUCUUUAUCGCUCGCGAUGGCGCUUGUUAUCUCCAACAGUUCUUAAGUUCGGCCGUAGACUUUUGUCUCGAACGGUAUAUCCAAAACUGAGAAUAAUUGUUUUUUUUUCUCGUUGUAGAAAAUUAAUAAACAUAAAAAAAAAAAAAAUACACUCGGUAUACUAUUGUACAUGAUGUUACAUUAUCGUUUUUAAUCGGAUAAUAAUGUUAUUAUUUUGUAAUUUCUCGCGUCGAAAUCAUAUUUGUAUUUGCCAUUUCGCAAGAUAACGUCGUAAUACAUUUUAAAAUCCGUUGGAGUACGAUCGCGUUGCGAGGAGCAGGACGGCGAGCUAUAAUUAAAUUCUGCCGUUGACGCGCCGACAAAUAAUAAGUUACGAAACAAAGUUUUUGACGCGUAUCGUGCUGAACUUGAGGUCGUCAAUCCGGCGCGGAAACCUUAAGUUUCAGCCGAACAGUCGAUGCCGCAUAAGCACAAUAAUGUAAUAAAACGAUGCAGUUCCGGACGGCAGAUCGCGCGCCGGUAUCGCGCCGUUACAAUACGCGUACGCACGUGUGCAUAUGUGUGCACACGUACACACGGGCAACGCAAUUACAAUCGCAGCGUUCCCCGCGGAAUAAAACGGGCGGAAAAUUAAUUUUUCGACGGUUAAUUAUCGUUUUCGAACGGGCGCGAAACGUAUAAUAACACCGGCCGCGGCGUCACUCUCGGUGUUUUCGUUCGCCAACAAUAACGUUGAUAUUGAAACGUUAUAUCGCGAUUGUGUGGCACAUACUCGUGUGUGUCUCUCUCUCUCUCUAUAUAUAUAUACGAGUAUAUGAAUACGAUUAUAGAGCGGUUGACGAACUCCUCCGGUGCGGUUUUCCACGUCGAGCGGCGGCAAAUAAUAAUUAAAAUACGCAUAAUCCGUUUCGAAACUCGGCGCGGCGAUGCGUUGUGGGCUAUAUUGUUUUAUUAUGACGUUCGCGUAUACACACAAUACAGGCUCGGGGGACGUUUUCCCUACCCCCACACUCAUCGCCGGUGUAAUUGAAUAAAUCCGAUAAAUAUUAGCGCGGUGUGAAGCGUUUGUGCGCCAAAAAGUUCCCCUCCCCCCCCUCCCCCUCCAUAACACGUAAGUAGGUACUUACGGUAUUAUGAUCGGAGUGCGAAAACGUAAUUGGUGACGUCGCACAGCGUGGAAGACCGGGGGGAAGGGAAUUCUCUUCCGCGUUACGAUGAGCGGACAACGGCGACUGGAAAACGACCGCGACGCGAGACCGGCCGGCCCCCCGGGCCGCGCGCGCGCAUAACAUUUCUCGACGAGAAUGCGAUUAGUGACCGGGGGGGGGGAGGGGAAACCCGCGGUCCUUCCCGGGACGAUGCGGACGAAUGUGCGCGUCGUUCGAUGGCAAAUUUAUACACGCGCCCGGUAUUACAACAAACGACGACGGCGACAAAAUCGUACGAAAAAAAUCAUUACCGGCGACGGUCGGUGUCCCGGCCGCGUUACGCCGCGUCGCGGGUCAAAGGGGAAAACCGGAGACGCGCCCGCGAGGAACGACACGAAACGCAAGGAGUGCGUGUGCACCCGUAUGUAACGCGGUGUUGCGGGCAGUUGAGCAACACUCGCGGGAGCGUUUCGAUUCGGCUGCCGGGGGGUGAUGGGAGGGGGGGGUGAUGUCCGCGCGCGCGUCGAUUUCUUCGCGAUGAAACGCGCGGCGAAUAUCAUUGCGUGCGCGCGUGCGCCGCGACGCCGCGCUCGGAAACGGACAAAUUGCGGCGGUCACCGCGCGAGAUGACAAACGACGGGAGACGAUGAAGACGUUUCGAGGAGUGCGCGUUAAGCAAAAAAAAAAAAAAUCUAUUGAUACGGUCACGGCGGACGGCGGCCGUCGCGACUUAAACGUUUGUAACCGACGUGUAUUAUUAUUAUUAUGUUGCCGGCGACACGUUUUAUAUACGGAAUCGUAAAAAAAAAAUAAAAAAAAACACUUUGUAGAAGGUAAUUUAGGUAUCCGCGGCCCGCCGGUUCACUUUCUCAUUUUACAAGUCAAUAAAAUAAAAACGGGAAUAAUAAUAAUAAUAAUAAUAUACACGUAUAGGUUAGGCGGGUACCACUAAACGUAUUAUGCACGAACGCGCGGUCCUUCGGUCGUCCGCAACCGGUUACGUGCGGACGCCGAGUGACUUGUCAAGUCGCUAAUUAGUCAACCGGGGCGGAGGGGGGUGGGUGAUUAGUAACGCGGCGGUGUAACCAGUUGAAAUUUACCGGCGGACCCGACGAAAGUCGUACGCCGCAAUGAGAGGAUAAAAAGAAAUAUUCGUAUUAUUAUUGUUUUACCCGGGUACACUUACGGUUGGAAACCGGAUUUAUAUUCUCUUCGUAUCCACCGAAGCCACCGCCGCCGAUACGAGUGUAUAAAUCGCACGUUUCGGCCGUUUCACUCCUCGACAAAAUCCCAAAUGCGCCACAAAUGGACGUGCAUUCGUCGUCUUUCGGCUGUUAUUACGACAGUUGUCUAAUGGGACAACGACGCCGUGCGAGGUGGUGUACAGCACGAAAUAUUUCAAACUAUAAUUAAUAUCGUAUUUGGUCCCGGGGGGGGGGGAGAACCGUUAGAGGAGUAUUUUGUUCUUGUGGUUUUCGAUACGCGCCGAUUAAAUGUUCGGGUUUGCGCCCGUCUCUAAGAAAACCCGAUACAACUUCGUCGAAAUUUCUCGUUUUCAUUUUCAAAAGGCCCCGCCGCCGCGGAACGAUCAAUAAUAUCACAUCACAAUAAAAGGAAUUAUCGCGUGUCGCGUUUCUCAUUUCGCGCGAAUUUAUCGUCGAGAUUUAUGAUUGUGCGCGGGCGUCUCAUCACGUAGGCCGUUCGCCGUCGCGUAUUAUAAUUAUAUUAUUAUUAUUAUUAUAAUUCAAAACGCAACGCGAUUCGUUUUGGCGGAUAGGAUUUUAAACAUAAUAUUUUACGCUGCGGUCCGAUGGAAAAAAAUAAAAUAAUAAUAAUAAAUAAAUAAAUAAAAAAUAUGAUUUAUUCCGUCGAGAGUAUUUUCGUCUUAUUAUUAUUAUUAUUAUCAUCGCAUUUUUUCGACCGGACUCUAUACCGGGCCGACGAUAAUAUUAGAAAAAAAAAAAAAACGGUUUACACCGCGCGUGUAUAUAUAAUCAAGUCGUUAUUCCGCGUCGGUCUUUACAAUGCGUACUUAUCCGUCGACUUAUCUCGCCUCCGAGCGAAACGGCCGUACGGUACACGGUCUUACCCGUGCACAUUAAACACGAUGGCAAGAGAUGAAUUAUCUUUUAAUUCGAAAAUAAUGUAUUAUUAUCGGGCGCGCGUUCGAUUGUUAUUACGUUUUUUUUUUUUAUAUAUAUAUUUUUUUUUUUUUUUAUUGUUCGCCGCGACGCGCGAUUUACCGUCAAACGGUCGUCCGGAGUCGAUUUUCUGCGUUGGCGCGCGUGUUUCACGUACACAUGCAAUUACUUAGUUCGGAUUCUGUUCGCGGAGAGGAAACCUUGGGUUUGGAUGUGUGUGUUUUUUAAAUCUGAACUAUUUUAGCGAGAAAUACAUCAUAUCGGUUCAUGCGCGCGUUUUCGUUCCGUCUGUGAACGUAUAUUUCAGUGUCGGUCCACGUGCAGGGCGGCGGGUUUCUGCGCAUUCCCCUCGAAACGAUUGCUGGCGCGCCAAUCCCUGAUACGAGUAUAAUGUAGCAGUAACGUUACGAUACGUCUCAUUUCGAACUGAACCGGACAUUUUUCUUUUUAUUAUUAUUAUUUAUUUUUUAAAAGCUCAGUAAAUCAUCUAUUGGAUUUACACGCGUUUUUUCCCCGCCCGAACGAAACGUUUCCCAUCAGACGUCUUUCUCCGAUCUUGAAGUGUGAAUAUAGCAUCUUUUCCGAAAACAAAUUAACCCUACAGUAAUCGGUGCAUUGACGGAUGCCAUUUUUUUAAAUAUUUUUCUUGUUGUUGACAUUCAGUUACAGGUAAUUGUAGAAACUUGAAAUAUUCGCAAAAUAAUUAUUAAUAUUUGCCCUGUAUUUGCCCGUUUAUAGACGUGAAAAAACAUUCUGGUAAUUUUUCAGCCAUUAUUGUUGUAGACAACUGACAUUUUCUAGUUUUUUUAAGUUUUUAUUCAGUCUUAUGUGAAUAAAAUUUGUUUGGCUAUGUCAAAACGAUUAAAGGUUUGUUAUUUAUAUUUGUUGUACAUAGUAGCGAAAGCAAAAAAAAAUUUAAGCGACUUGUAAUAAUUUAUUUUAUUAGCGUUUUAAGUUCAAAAGUUGACGAUAAUUGUUAAAACCACGGCAUUUCAAAAUAUGUUCAACGGCAUUUCACUCAGAAACGUUUUUCGUUAACAAUUUAUGUAAUUUAAAAAUGAAUCUGUAUAAUAUUAUAUACUACGUUUUCAACUAACCACAGCAAUGUCACACACCCGUCAGUAGCAGUAUCAGUUCUUUUUUUAAUUUUAAUUUUCGUCUCAUAAGUCGAAGUUGAAAUAAAACCGAGUCCGCGAGAUAGUUUUAUUAUGUAAAAUUUAUUAUACAUGUUUAAUAAUUAAUUUCGAAAACACUGGUCGUAAACUGAUUAAAAAUAUACCAUUACGAUACGUGGGUAAUAAACAAAAUUCGCAUUAUUCUUGAUUAAUUAAAGCGUUGUUUUUUUUUUUUUUUUCUAUCCUCGAGAUAAUCAAUGCGUGAAAAUAUUAUGCCAAGUAAUCUGAAGUAUGUACGCACAUAUAUUUAUGUGUCUUCUAAAUCAGAUAUAAUGUAAACAAUAGUUUGGAACGGUGGAAGUUAUAUAUUAAUUUCAUUGUUGUUGUAAUAUAUUUUAUUAUUAUUAUUUUUUUUUUUUCAAAUCCACUGUCUAACCACCGCGCGUAUAGUCCAAUUAAAAUAAAUCGUGGCUUUUUUUUUUUUUUUUUUUUAUGUUUUAUAUUCUCGCAAUUGUAGAAGUAAUAUUACAUAGUAGGUAUACUUAUCCAGCAGACGAAACCCGGUUUUAAAAUGUAUUGCGUUUACCAAAUCCGCACUCGUUUACACACGCACGCGCACUAAAUUCUUUGCGUACGAUACGAUCAACCGUAUUAAAAUAUUAUAAUAUGAUUAACUAUCAACUAUGACUUUGCAGGUUAAUCAAAUUUCAGUGAGCUGUGACAUUCGUUUAUGUAACAAGGUCAGAGAGCACAUAUUAUUACCCACAUGCAAUAUGCGUAUAGACCGUGUCUGCAAACUAUCUAGAGCGUUUCUCGAGUUGCGUAUAUAUUUAUCACAUUAUGCUCAACAAUAUCACAAUAUCAUUAUAAUGGUUGUCAUAGACGAAAAAAAAAUCGAACAGCAUUCAAAUUAUUGGGUUUUCGAUUAGCUGUUCGAAUCGCCGUGGUCAUUUUUUUUUUUUUUUCUUGCCAUGUGUAAAUUUGAUUUUAAAUAAUUUUUAUAACGAUUUAACGAUACAUGUAUAGAUUGUCAGCUUGCAUAUUCUUCAACAAUUUCAGUUUUCUUUUAAGAGUAGAUUUUUUUUUUUUUUGUUUUUUUUUUAAUUUGGUGUUUAAGGUCGAACACGUGUAAGGCGGUGUCGAGAAACGCCGGUCAGCGGCGGGGCGGUAUUUUCUGAAUGACCGACAACCGCACACUCGGCUCGGUAUUUAAUUACAAAUAUUAUUUAUUUUCGAAAAUACGAUUUGGCACCUAAAGUAUAUACCCGCAACAAUUUAUGACGCCCAGAAGAAAUUUCGAGCCGUAGAUAUUUAUUAUGGCUCGCAGUCGUUCGCGAGACAUAUGCCCUACCCGAUAUAAUAAUCCCAAAAAAAAAAAAAUAAUAAUAAUAAUAAUAAAACUGUUCAGUACCUAUAGAAACUGUAGGAAAAAUAGAUUCUGGAUACGGGGUUAAGUUGAUUUUCAAACUGUCCGCCGUAUUCAUUUCAUAAUAAAUGCACGGUAUAUUGAUAAUAAUAUCUGUACUGUCACUCUGAGUUAGACAAUUUUAAAUGUACAGUCGUAAUUUUGACGCAAACAAUUUCGUAAUAUAUAAAUGUUAAUUUCAUACGAUUAAGUUAAAUGCUUAUUUAGUUACAUUAAAAAAAAAAAAAAACAGUCUAUUUGUAUAAUUUUCUGAUAAAUAAAAAAGACGUAAUUUACAAUCUGCUUGUUUCCAGUACUGAUCGGAGUAAUUCGAAAUACUCUAAAUUGUAUUUUUUUAUUUGCAUUGGAAUUUCGCAUAGUAUAAUUCCUUCUCUUACUGUUUCCGUUUCAUACACAGUAGCAGCACUAGCUUCGGUUAAUAAUUUAACUCACCUUCCGACCGACUGAUUGACGAUCUUCGUAUCACAAAGUCUACGAGAUACGUAUUUACGUAGGCGUUUGGAAUAAUGAAUAACAUUUUUACUGGCAUGCGAAAAAUAUCUGAAAACAAUGACAAACGCGCAUAGUAUUCAAAUUCUCUUUUAGUUGCAUACGCCCCGAACGUCACGGACAGCACUGUCAUUUAGAUAUAAAUUAAAACCUAUGACGAUAAUAUGCCAUCAAACAAAAAUAUACAAUCAUUGUUUUUAAUAUUGUGUACUUGUUAUUUUUCGGGCUGUCGGUUGUUUUCAAUAAUAAUUGCUAAUUAAUUUUCGUUUUGCUUGUUCGAUGUUUUUUUCCCCCUUUGAUUUUGGCGUCCCGUUUCGACGACGUCUAUAGCAUUUUUGGUCUGCGGUUGCUGCUGCUGCUGUUGGUCUUGCAGUUCUGAUUACUUACCGUUUAUUUUCACGUCAUCGUCGUCGGCAUCACCCACUUACCCGUUUCGUUUAUUAUUAAUUAAAUAUGUUUAUAAUUUGAAAUUACGGCGACAUAACCCGUGUAUAGCCUAUAUUAUAUACAAGGAAAGUUGUUUAAUAUAGUUGUUAAAACUUUCCCCGUGAAAGUCGCCUGUUAAUUCCGAUUACAUAUUAUAAGACGCGACUGCGUCCUCCGGAACCCGACUUAUAAAUGCGUAUAUACAUACAUAUAUAUAUAUAUAUAUAUAAAGUUGUACACUGCAGUUGCUAUAAUUAAAUUUAAAAUUUAACGCGGCGCAAACGAGUGCGUAUUAUGCACGCGCUGCCUGCGAGAAUCUUAAAAGUUUAUUCUAAUACCGAUUAAAUAUUUAACGAUUCCGCGAGAUUGAAAUUCCGUCUACUCGUAUUCGUAUUUUGUUUUCUUUUUCUUGUUUUUUUUUUUUUUUUUUUAUGACCGAUUGGUGCAGUAAAUAAUAAUAUACCUCUAAUAUUAUAAAUUAUGUGGCAUAAAUAUACGGUAAAUAAUAAAAAAAAAAAAAAAACGGUCGUAAAUAUUCAGACACGAUCGUCUGCAGGAAUGCCGCGGUCGCACAUGCACACACACGGUUAAUUAUAUACACGUACUCACGUUUUCGGUCGAGUACAAUGUAUUUUAUUGUAAAUUUGUAAUUUUUUCGACCCAAUUGAUCGGCGAGCAAGUCAUUAUAAUAAUGUAGGCGCAGGCGCCAGGUUUUUAAAAUGUCUUUGGGAGUUCAAAUUUUUGAGCUUUUUUUUAAUUUAAAAAGGAUUUUUCCAAAAACAUAAAAUGAAGAAAAACUACACACUAUCUAUUUCGAAUCGGUUUCGUUACCUAUUCGAUAAGAAUGUGUAGGUACUUAGAGGGCACAAGCGCUCUAAUCAAAAAGAUGUUAUCACUGGCACGGUGUUUGCCACGUGAAACCUAAGAUACCUGUAACGACACUGUGAACAGGUUAUUCGUUAUGUCGGAUGAUAAACAAAUAGUUUUUUUUUAUCGUAUAACACGUCUGAUAGUCUGUUUUAUCAAACAAUAAUGGUUUUUUAAUUAUCGCCGGAUAACUUCGGUAUUUAACCGUUAAGAACAAUAUACAUAAUAAUAAUACGCUGGCAUAAAAUGUGCGUUUCGUCAAUAAAACCUUUGAGGGCUGAGCCCGGCAGGUUCAAUAUCGUCAAUUGGGAGCUGUACCGUCCCCGUGUACUCGGCGUCUAAAACGAAUAAUAUGCGAAACACGAGAAACGAUAAAAAUAUCUGCCGGACGGUGCGCAUUCGACAGUCGUUAUUGAAGUUAUUAUCGCGUAAUUCGACACGACCGCGGCGACAAAGACGACGGGUCGCAAUGAAAAUGUCGCGUUAGCACAAUAUCGUAAUAAUAAUGAUAAUGAUAUUAUGUGCAGGCGUGUUACGGGGCCGGUACGGAACGCCGUGACGACAGAAUACGAAACGAUGACGGGGGGGGGGCAAAGGAAAUAUUAUUGUUACACGCGUGUGUGUACGGGGCGGGUAUGUGCGGGUGCUCGCGACGAGAUAAAAAAAAAAUACCAAUAAUAACGAAGUGUAAACGUCCACCAAAACGAAAUCGUACGCGGACGUAAAUGUUAUUAAUAUUUUCCGUCUCCGUCGCGCCGUUCCCACGGUGGUGGAUACGCGACGACGACGGUGUCGCCGCCGCCGCCACAGUUUCACGGAGGUGACAAUGACGACACUUAUUAUUUAUUGUUAUUAUUGUGAGCAAACUCCGUCGCCGUAUUAUCACGGAAGAAAAAAAAAAUGAAGAAAUGAAGACGUUACCCCGUGUAAUAAUCGAGCCGUCAUUGCGUUAGGCACGGCUAUCGUCGCGCUCGGCGGAGGCGUACCGCCGCGCGUAUUACCGUCCCGUUCGCCCGUUGCAUCUUUAUUACGUAUCAUCACGCCACCGCCGUAUAAUAGAUAAUACAUAAAUAUAAUAACAGGCGCGUCGUCGUAUUUCCGUCUAAUAACAAUAACAUAAUAUGGCGGCGGCGGCGUAAUUUCAGGUACGAUUUAUAAUCCAAUAAAUAUAAUAAUACGAAAAAAAAAAAAAAAAAAUCACAUAUAUAUAUAUAUGUGUAUAAUAAAAGAUAGUACUUAAUGUGAUUAUAUUAUUAUCAUUACACAUUAUUUACACGUUACGCGUAAUAAUACCGAUUCAUUGUUGUGUUUUGACAGAUAAUUUUCCAGUUCCCAUUGCUGAGGUUACGUGGCCCAUGAUACUGGUGCUGGUGUCGUUGCUGUCGGCCGCGAUCGGCGCCCUCUUCAUGGUCGUUUUCCUACACCUCAAACUGUAAGUCAUUAUUAAUAUUAUCGUACGUAGUAACCGUGUCGAAGUGAAUAUCACAUUUCAUAACCGAAAUAUCCGUCGGAGUCGUCGGGUUCGGGCUACCGACAACACUCGGCAAACGCUCACGCAACGUUUAAA